rnacentral:lncRNA from 1 species
AUAAGGCUUGCCCCUUCUAUCCUCUCUCACCAACGGGUUAAAAACCCUAACCCUAAUUUAGAUUUUCUAUUUAUACGCGAUAGCGAAAGCCAACUUCGCAGCCGAAGCCAAAUCUUCGGGUUCGCUUUUUCUUUAUAAUUCAAUCAUCUUUUUUAUCUCAAGUUCCUAAUCUUUACUCUUCCUCCCAUAGGCACAUCAGGUUCGGCGUUGAUAAACUUUUGAAGCUUUGAUUUUUUUUUUUUUAAUUUUUAAUGAUAAAAAAGGGGAGGCGGUGAUGUUGAAAACUACCUAUUUUAUGAAGGGUUUUUCGCCCAUUUUGUGAUUAGAAAAUCACCAAUGGAUCCUUCUGAGCCUUCUUCUCUCAUUUUCUUCCCUCUCAACUCCCAACUUUAGUUUUUGAUGAGAAAGAAAAAUUGAUAGGUUAAUUUUGUUAGAGUCUGAUUUAGAGCCAUUGAGAUGAUGAUAUCCUUUUCUGAAAAAUAUAAUGUCGACUAAAAAAAAUCAGACUACAAUUAUCUGAUCACUGGGCUCUCUAUCUCCCUUUUUCUCUUUAUUUUCGUGUCAAAUUUGUUUUGCUUCUUUUUUCUCUCAUUGUUUUGAUAAUAUUUACUUUCAUUUUCAAGGUUUUUCUUUUUUUAAUAUUAUUUAAUCCAUUUUUUUUAAUAAAAGACAAUACAUCUUUUAAGAUAAUUUUUUGUUUCAUUUCGGACGAGUAGAAACAAUAGGAAGAACAACAAAGAUUUUAUAUCUCGUACAUCACUUAGAUGAACUUUAGAGAGUCGCAUAAAAAAGAAUGAAGAAAUGGAAUAUGAAAGAGAACACAAAAAUAAAUAAAUAAUAAGGAAUUGGAUUUUAUUCGCACUGUAGCUGAGAUGAGUUCGUUAAUUCUAUCUUUGAUAUCUUCUAGAUCAUAUUUUUGGUGUAUGAAAUAUUAACAUUCUUUUUUAUUUUAAAGAGAACAAAUUAAAAAAAAAAAGAAAGAUAAUGAAAAAUUUUUUACUGCAUUAUUUAUUAUUUUUAUUAUAUUAUAAUUAUAAUAGAUUCUUUCCUUAUCUAAAAAAUAGAAAAAAUAAAUAAAUAAAGGAUUUACUUUAAGAUAACUAGUUAAAUAAGUAUGUAUUAUGUCAAUAUAUAUCAAUUAAUUUGUAAAGUAAAUAUUCAUACAAAUUAGUCAUAUGUAGAAAAUCAUAUAUGAACUGAUGACACGAGGGUUUUCAAUCGUUUGCUUUACCGAGUUAUCUCGAUCAUUAUUGAUGGAUUAUCUUAUAAUAUUAGAUGAUUUGGGUUUAUGUCAAUUAAAAAUGAAAACAAAAACAAUGAAAAAAUAUUAAAUUAAAAGGGUAAUUUCUUAGAUAUUUCAAAGGAAGAUUUUAUAAAUUUCAAUAUGAGUAAUCAUUCAAAUAGGUAUUCUUUACUCAAAGGUGUUGAUUUUUACAUAUUUCAUACAUAAAUAUAUAUAUAUAUAUAUAUAUAUAUGAGACAAGACUUUGUGACAAGAGAAUAAAAUUCUACUAGAACACGCUUGUAAAAUGAAAAAAAAAAUAGAAUGAAUGAGAAACUUUAAAUUACUAACAAAAAAAAGAAAAAGAUAAAAUAAAUAGAUAGCAAACUAGCUUUUUAAGGUUGGGGAUGGAGGAACUUGAGAACAAAAUUCAAAUGUAAAACUUGGAUUUUAAUUUUUUUUUUUAAAAAAGUAUAUACUAAUAAUCAGUUGAAAGUUGACUCAAUUGAGUUUAAACAGCCACUUUUUUCAAGCUUUAUGUAAGUCAUCUUAUUGAGAUAAAAACUACUUAAUACAUUAAGAGGUUUAUGCGUACUACUUACAAUAAGAGGUUUAUGCAGGGGUUAAAUAAGCGCUUUUUAGUAAAUCAAAUAUUACUUAUUAAUUUCCCUUCUAAAGACGUAUGGAAAACAAUGUGUAUAAUCUUUAGAAAACAAUGUGUAUAAUUAUGAUUGGUACUGAAAACACUACAGGAAGAGAGUCCUGGUUUUUUGAAUAAUUGAAACUUUGCUAUGUAUACUUGAACUGCGGAAUUGGACUUCCCAAUCUUAGCUGAACAUUGACAUGAACAAUGUUUGAAGCUGCAUUCAGUAUCUCCUUCUCUGCCUCCUUCGCCGCUUCCAUAGCAUCACUGUAAUGAGAAAAGAAAAGAAAUUGGUAUUCGAUAUAUAUAAGGAUAUCAAUUUGUAAAAUAAAGUAUUUCGCAUCCUAAAAGUCAAUAUACAUAGGAAUGUUCGAUAGGUAAUGUAGAGCAUUCUGCAUCCUCAUUCUUAUAUUUUUAUAUUAUAUCUAUUAUCGUAUUUAUAUUUAAUAAAUAUUUUAAAUUUAUUCACAUUCUCAUCCCCGCAAAUAUUUAAUUUAAUAAGCAAAUAUUUAAUUUAAUGAAUAUGAGUACUCCCAUUACCCUUAAACGUUUAAAAAAAUAAAAACUCAAAUUUAUUUUUAAAAUUUUUUUUAUCUUGUAUAUUUUGAUAUUUUUUUAUAAAUAUAUAUUAAUAUAUUUUUCAAUAAAAAUAUACUAAUUCUAAUUAAUCUAAUAAAAUAAUUUAUAUUUACAAAAAAAAUCUAUUUACUAAAAAUGUAUAUAAAAUAUAUAUAUAAGGUACAAAUACGAGAUGAGUAUUAUAUUAUCCAUUUUUGUAUCCAAUAAAAAUUUUAAAUCAUACAUAUACUCAUACCGAUCCUUGUAAAUACAAUAUAAUACACAUUCUCAUCCCCAUUCAGAUAAAAAGUCUAAUUUCUCAUUAAAUACGAGUAAAAUUAAUAUCUUUAUAUAUAUACAUAUAUAUAUAUAUAUAUACACACACAUACACAUAUAUAUAUAUAUAUAAGAUAAACUUUAUAAAUAUACCCAAUGAUUAAAGCCAAAACAAAAAUACCCUAAAGUUUAAAAUAUGACAUUUAACUAUUUUAUAAUUUGUUCCAUUAUUUUUUAACUUAAAUCUAUUACUUUUUUGUUUUUUUUUUAAUUUUUUUUUUCUUCAUCUAAAUUCAUACUUUCUCCUUCAAAUCAGACUAAUUCUCUCUCUAAAAUCAAACAAAACCAGACAUUUUAAAUAUUAUUUGAAUGUUAUUUUUUAAAAUAUUGUUGUAUAAAUCAACUAGAUCGAGGUUUAAAUUCAAUCGCCCAUUAUGAGAUUCACUUUUUUACAAAAAAAAAAAGCAAAAGUCAUUCCAUUAAUUCUAUAAACAGCCUCUUGGGUUACAAUGCCUAUUAGUUCCACUGGGCAAACAUUAAGCCACUGUCAAGUCUCCACAUUUUUCACUGCCAUUUUAACCAACUUGUGCAUCACCUCAUUCGCUUCUCUCUGAACAAACAUUGCCUUCCAGUUCUGAAACUUGGUUAGACCAUAUUGGACCUCCAUUAUUUGGUUUCCAAUUAAAGACAAAUUAUGUUCUUGUUGGUCAGUGAUCUGGCCAAUGAUUCCUUGCGCGUCUUCCUCCAGCACAAUGUUUGUCCAUCCCAUGGCAAAAGCAAACUCAGCCGCUUUUGAGAUAGCAAUUCCCUCUAUUAUUAUUGCAUCCCUAAUUCCUAGUACAAGUAUGGACACUGCUCCUAAGACCCUCCCCUAACAAUUCCUCCUACGUUCCUCUCUGUAUUUAAAGCACCAUCAAAGUUUAUUUUUACCUCAUGUUCAGCCGAUGCCUUCCACAUUGCCUCUCGUCGUAUGAUUUGAAUUUAGAGAGAGAAUUAAUUUGAUUUUAGGGAGAAAAAAUAAAUUUUUAGAGAGAGGAUAUGAAUUUAGACGAAAAAAAAAAAGAAAAAAAAAUUAAAAAGAAACGGAAAAAAUAACAGAUUUUGGUAAAAAAACAAUAUAACAAAUUAUAAAGUAGUUAAGUAUCACGUAUUAAAUCUAGGGGAUAUUUUCAUUUCAACCUUUACCAUAGGGUUUAUUUUUAAAAUUAAUCCACAUAUAUAUUGAACAAACCGCCAAAGGAAAAAUGAAAGAGAGCUUGUACCGAAUCAUGAUAUCCGGGGGCAUGCUAACCUCAACUUCCAGUAAUAUCUUCCCUUGUAACAUGUGAUGAGUUAUGCGUUCAACCAUAAAUUUCUGCAAAAUUCAUGUAUUCAACAAAAAAAUGUAUUAAAAAUGUUUUAAGAAUAAAGUAGCAAGUUCUGCCCCAAGCAAUAGUGUGGUGUUGGCUUGAAUAACAGGCAAAAAUAACAAGAUGAAAACAAAAUUCAUGAUUUCCCUUCCAACAAUGGUUAAAGUUUAGAUCUGGAGCUUUUUUUACCAAACCACAUUUCACCUUGCUACUCCGACUUCAGUGCUUAACACCUUUAUCCACAGCAUAGUUCAUUUAUAAUUGAGCCUACACUUAAAACACUCAACAAAAUGAGAAGAGGUACCUCUGGAAACUUUGAUGAAAAUAUGCUAGAAACAAUUGCUUCAACAUUUUCCUCCCUGGCAGAAAUAUUAUUAUUCCGUUCCUCGAUUCUCUUCAAACUUUCUUUCUGGUCCAUUACGUCAGGGGAGAACUCUAUAUAUGCAGGAUCUACACUUUCCAAAAGGUAAAAAGAAAGUUGAUCAGAACAAAGACGCCGACAACUGGUGAUGCAAAGACAGUUCUUGCAUCAAUUUUACAGUCCAAUAACCAGUAAUCUCUUCAGCAUGGUAUCAGAUAUCUAUGCCUAAAACCACAAUAUUAUAAAGGGCAAAAAAAAAAAGUUAAAUUAAAUGCUAAUCGCCAUUAAAGUACAUCUUAGCUCAGUAUUUACACUGGCCAAAAAUCACUUGCUCCAAGAUCAAUUGUUUCUCCAUACCACAGGUUAAAUUAUCAAGCUGAAAAUAGAAUAAAUGGUCCAUGGAAGUCAGAAGAAAUUAUCAACAAAAGACAAAUGAUGUAAUUACCUAGAGGGAAAGUUCUUUUCUUCUUUCCCUUAACAAUCAGUUUUCUUUUAAAGAUGGUCAUCUUUCAACACAAAAUAGUGAAAUUACAGCUCUCAUCUUAAGAAAUUUGUUGCAACCAAUUCAGUGAUGAAGUAACCAAGUAAUGUACCUAUGUGUAUGAAAACUUCAGUCACUUCAGGGUGGGACUCAUGAAUUUGAUGACGAAUGUUUUCACCAAUGCCAUGUGCAGCACUAACACUAGAAAAGGGAUUGACCUACAUGUCAAAAAUAAGGGGAAAAUCACAAAGGGCAUCAGGAAAUCUCAAAUAGGCAGUUUAACAGUCAAGCAAAAAAACCAACAAUAUAAAGUACUAGUAGCAACAAACGCUAUCCGACUAUUUACGGUUAGCUAUAUGAAUCACAUUGUUUCAUUCUGCUCUAUUAAACAUCAUAUCCUCAGCAAGCUUAACAAAAGUGAGGUAGUUUUUAUACUUUCUAAUCAUAUUCUCCUUGCGAUUUUCACUGGCACUAGAAAAUGUACCAAAAACUCACCACGAUAUGUACAUCAAGGUAUAGAUUAGAACCAGCUCUCCUUGCUCUUAAACGAUGGCAUCCCUACAGACAUUUGUUAAAAGAGUACUUAGGGAGACUGCCAAGAAAGGAAAAGGCAUAACUUAAUUGUAUAUUUCACCAGUAGUAACAAGCCAACAGAUCACAAUAUCAAAUACCAGGUGCAUGCAUCNNNNNNNNNNNNNNNNNNNNNNNNNNNNNNNNNNNNNNNNNNNNNNNNNNNNNNNNNNNNNNNNNNNNNNNNNNNNNNNNNNNNNNNNNNNNNNNNNNNNNNNNNNNNNNNNNNNNNNNNNNNNNNNNNNNNNNNNNNNNNNNNNNNNNNNNNNNNNNNNNNNNNNNNNNNNNNNNNNNNNNNNNNNNNNNNNNNNNNNNNNNNNNNNNNNNNNNNNNNNNNNNNNNNNNNNNNNNNNNNNNNNNNNNNNNNNNNNNNNNNNNNNNNNNNNNNNNNNNNNNNNNNNNNNNNNNNNNNNNNNNNNNNNNNNNNNNNNNNNNNNNNNNNNNNNNNNNNNNNNNNNNNNNNNNNNNNNNNNNNNNNNNNNNNNNNNNNNNNNNNNNNNNNNNNNNNNNNNNNNNNNNNNNNNNNNNNNNNNNNNNNNNNNNNNNNNNNNNNNNNNNNNNNNNNNNNNNNNNNNNNNNNNNNNNNNNNNNNNNNNNNNNNNNNNNNNNNNNNNNNNNNNNNNNNNNNNNNNNNNNNNNNNNNNNNNNNNNNNNNNNNNNNNNNNNNNNNNNNNNNNNNNNNNNNNNNNNNNNNNNNNNNNNNNNNNNNNNNNNNNNNNNNNNNNNNNNNNNNNNNNNNNNNNNNNNNNNNNNNNNNNNNNNNNNNNNNNNNNNNNNNNNNNNNNNNNNNNNNNNNNNNNNNNNNNNNNNNNNNNNNNNNNNNNNNNNNNNNNNNNNNNNNNNNNNNNNNNNNNNNNNNNNNNNNNNNNNNNNNNNNNNNNNNNNNNNNNNNNNNNNNNNNNNNNNNNNNNNNNNNNNNNNNNNNNNNNNNNNNNNNNNNNNNNNNNNNNNNNNNNNNNNNNNNNNNNNNNNNNNNNNNNNNNNNNNNNNNNNNNNNNNNNNNNNNNNNNNNNNNNNNNNNNNNNNNNNNNNNNNNNNNNNNNNNNNNNNNNNNNNNNNNNNNNNNNNNNNNNNNNNNNNNNNNNNNNNNNNNNNNNNNNNNNNNNNNNNNNNNNAGGCAAUGAUUUCAGGAACUUUCUCUAUAAUCCAUCAAUCACUCUCCCUAGGGUGUUUCCCUCGAGUGAAAGUUGUCCAUACUUCCACCAAGUAUGAAGGACAAGUCUACAUUCCUGAGGUUAAUUACCUGCUGAUGUUGGCUUGUGUUGGGGUUACUGCUGGUUUCAAGACCAGUAACAAUAUCGGCAAUGCAUAUGGUAACCCACACAACUUUGCAUAAUUUACACAUCUGUUCAAUGUGCAAAUACACGCACACACAUACAUACAUAUUAGUAAUGACUCUUGACAUCAUCUUUCUAUAGGGAUUGCGGUGAUAUUUGUAAUGAGUCUGACAUCAUCUUUGUUGGUUGUCAUCAUGAUAAUGAUAUGGAAAACCAACAUCCUUUUGUAAUUGCCUACGUUCUUACCAUCGGUUCCGUGGAGCUAAUCUAUUUGACUUCUGUUCUGUACAAAUUUGAUCAGGGAGGAUACUUGCCAUUGGCCUUUGCUGCAGUUUUAAUUGCAGUGAUGUAUAUUUGGAACAAUGUUUAUCGGAGAAAGUACUAUUACGAGCUCGAUCAUAAGGUUUCUUUUGAAAAGUUGAAGAUGAUAACUAGAUAACGCCAAAUUUCAGUAAGAAUUCCAGGACUUGCCAUGUUUUACUCAGAGCUUGUUUCAUGGUAUCCGUCCCUCUUCGAGCAUUAUUUUGGAAAAUGCUAUCAGCAUUGCACUCUGUCCUUUUCUCAUCCUCCAUCAAAUCACUUACCAAUUUAGCAAGGUUUCAAUUGAAGAAAGAUUUCUUUUUCGAAGAGUGAACCAAAGAAGCCAAUGUCUUCCGUUGUGUCGUUAGAUAUGGGUAUUACAGAUGUGCACAAUGAAGCGAGACAGUUUUGAGAAGACUUUUCUUAGAAAGAUUGAAAGGAGUUUAUCCAAAAAGACACUUGGUUAACUCAAAUGCAAGCCUAAUAUGGGGCAACAAACUGAAAAGGGGCCGAAUUGGAAGAUGAAUUUGCAGAAACAACAGGAUGAAACAUCGAUCAAGAAUAUAAUGCAAGUGGGAGAAGGUGAUCAAGAAGAGAAAAUACGUAAAGAUAUUGAAUUAGUGGAGCAAGCAUGGCAAGCUGGUGUUGUUCACUUGGUAGGUGAGACUGAUGUGAUUGCAGGCAAAGGAGCUGGUAUAGGAAAGAAGAUUUUGAUAGAUUAUGCUUACAAUUUUCUAAAGAAACUUUUGAGGCGAACUGAUAAAGUGUUCGAAAUUCCUCACAACCAGUUGCUUAAAGUUGGUAUGACUUAUGAGCUUUAGAACAUUUGAUGGAAUGUGGGGUACUGGACUUGAGGAAUACAUGGUUGCAGCUCCAUUGAAGACCUGAAAAAACUUGUUACUUGUUUAUCCUUCCAGUAGUCUAAAGGGAGAAAUUAGGAGUAAAAGAGUAGUUCUUGUUUUAAAUAAUAAAUAAACUCCACAAGGCAAAUGGGAAGCAUGUUAAUUAUGGGGUAAUAUUUAUAUGUACUUUGAAAUGUUUUACUUAUAUUGUAAAUAUAUAUUGUAUGUGUGCAAUAGUAUUAUGAAUAUCAAUCCAGUUUUAUCAAUUUACAAGUUACUUUAAGCAAGAUUUGAAUAUCGAAACAGCGGUCCAUCUUUUUAUUGUUAAACUAUUUUUUUUUCAUGUGUUUUGCAAGUAAUUUUCCCAUGAAAAAUUUGUAUUAACUUCUUUUUUAUAUUAAAAAAUGAAUGAAUACGAACUCAAUUCUUUAAAUAAAAAAUAUAUAAAUCAAAUCAUUAAGUUAAAUAUUGAACCAUGCUUUUAAUUUAUUAAUAUCAAUAAGAUUAUGUAGGACAAAAUUAACACAACUCAUUGAUAAAAAAACAUUGAAAAAAAAGAAAUAAAAAACUAAAUAUAAGAUAUAUAUCAACAACUUCUUUAAUUUGAGUUAAAAAAAGUAAACUAUUGUCAUCUAUGAAGAAUAUAUGUAUAUUAAACAAAUAGUAUUUUAUAAAUAUUAAAACAAAAUAAAGAAAAAAUUGUAAAUUAAUCAAAUUUACUAAAUAUUUGCACAUUGUUUGAUUCGGGGAUCAUUUGAAUCCCACUGACAUUUCGUUUCAGUGCAGUUUUAAUCCUUUUUUUAUUCAAUAACACUAUUAUAGUGUUUGGAGAGUGAGGCACGUUUGCCUCCAGUUCUCUACCGGAUGUUUUAGGUCCAACAAGAAUAAUUUCAUCUAUUACGUGUCGUUCUUCCAACUUUGCCCAUAAUUUUUCAUUUUUUUUUUCUAUUUUUACCUUUAAAAUUUAAUAGUUUUUGGACAAAAUAUCGAUACAAAUUUUUUUGUUUUUCAUUUUUAUUUUUUAUUUAAAAAAUAUUGAAAUAACUUUUGUGAUUUACUGUAAUAAAUAAAAUUUAUUAUUAUAUAAUAAAUUAAUAAAUACUAUGUAUUAAUGUUUUGAUUGAAAAUAAAAAUUUAAGAUUUUAAAUAAUAUAAAUAACAUUAAAAAUGCAUAAAAAUAAAUUAUCAAUACAUUUUUAGAAUAAAAUUUUUAAUGAUAAUUUUUUGAUUCAAAUGCUGUUAAUUUAGCUAUGUUUUUUCGAUACAAAUACUGUUAAUUUAGUGACGUUUUAUCAUAUAAACACCACUAUAUUGCGAUAUUUUUUUAAUAUAAACAUCACUAAAUUAACAGUAUUUUUCAGAUACAAACGUUUUAAAAUAACGAUAUUUUAUAAAAAAUAUCGUUAUUUUCUCUUAUAUGUGUAUAACCGAUACUCUUACUAGUAUUUUUUGCAAACGUCGCAAAUCUUUUAUUAACUUUCAUAAACACUGCUAAAUGUUAAAAAAAAAUCACUAAAAAUCUAAACUUCUGUAGUGGUUAUUGUUGCUUUUAUAUUUAAAUAUAUAUAUAAUUAUUGAUUUUAAUCUUAUCAUUACAAUAAUAAAUUUUACUUUCACCAUAAUUUUCAAUCUUACCAACCAUACAAAUGGACCCUGAGAUAAAUAUAUUAAAAAAGUAAGUUUAAUCCCUAUUUAUCACAAAUUUAUUUGUAGCUGUCUUAUUAAUAUGUUAUCAUUAAAAAAUUGUUGCAUAAAAAUUUAGUGAUAUUCUUAUUCUAGAAUUUUGCAAGGAAUGAGAGAAUCCAUGAUAUUUUAUGUAUGUAUGAUUGCGCAAAAGUAAAAUUUUAAUUAAAAUAUCUAAUAGUUCCUUAGGUUUUGGAAAAUGGUAAAGUUUAAUAAUUAAUUAAUGUCACAUCCUGGGUGUUAUUAUGGGUUUUUAAUGUUAUUCUUUUUAGCAUUGUGUUAACAAUAUGGAAUGAAAUAAAAUAAAAUAUAUUUAAAAAAAACCUAUUUGUAAUAUAUAAAUUCAUAUCAUAUAUAUUAUGUUUAAAUAAGUAAUAUAGCAAACAAAAAUUGAUAUAGUUUAACAGAAUAAUAAGUUUGUGUUCAAUAAUGUAACUAAAAUAAUUUGUUGUUAAAAACAAAAUAAUUGUCUAUUAUUAAGUUAUCCAAAUCUGUUAUGGUAAGAAAGACUCUGGUUUCAACAAUUUAAUUUUAUACUUUUGUAAUAGUAAUGCAAAAAAAAAAAAAAACGGUAUUAGUAAGGUCCAAAUAACAAAAAUAAUUACGUUUUUCAGGUGAUAGAAAAUAAGAAAUUUUUUUGGUAAUCUAAAUGGUCUCUUGCAUUGAAGGCUGGAACUUUGUGGUUAGUAAAUGAAAUUCAUUGUUUUGAGUUGAGGAAUAACAAAGAAUAAUGUCAAAUUCAAUGAAAAAGGUAUCUGAUUGACAUAAAAGCUACCUUUUGGCAUUCUAACAUAAAACUUAAAACGUUUGGGGAAAUAGAGUUUAAUAAUAUAUUUAUUAUUAUUAAUUAGAUUUAAAAAGGAGGAUAGGUUGGCUUGAAUAAGUAAAGCUAACCAAUAGAAAUACAAAACAAUGUCCUGUUGUAAAAAAAAAAAAUGCGGAUUUACCGUGUUAAAUGUCACAAUUCUAGAGUCCUGCAAAUAAAAAUAAUAUAUUGUUAGAUGUAUGGAUCCCAAAUAAAGAUACAGUUUGAUCUUUUGGGUGCAUGCUUGACAAUAUUUAUUAUGCCAUGGACAAAUGAAGAAGAGAUUAGACAUCUAAAAUAAUGUCACUCAAGGACAGCCUUUGUGCUUCUUCAAUUAUAUCAUUCAUCAACUUGUUUAGUUGUUAAUAGAACCACAUUCCAACAUGUUAAAAUAUAUAGUGGCAAAAUUGGUGAGUGCCGAUAUCCCCCUUUGUAUAUAAAUUCCAUCCCACCCUCACAUUUGGGAGCUAUGGCUCUUGAUCGAUCUUCACAUACCCUAUAUAUAUAUAUAGCCCUUUCAUAUUCCCCAACCCCUAAUUUGUCUGUCAGAGAAAAGAGAUAAAAACAGGGCUUGGUAUUGGCGUUCCUUGAUUUUUUAUAAAAUUUUCUUAUGCUUGAAGCUUCAUUGUUCUUUAUAUCCGGAUGUCUAGUUUUGUACAAGAAACUAUUGAAGAAACCCACGAGGAUGAGGAGCUGGAAUCAAAUGAUUAUGACACCCAUGAGAAAGCUUCUGAAGGGAAAAAAACGCUCGUUCCAAAAGCAGCGCAGAUACGAUUCCCUGGACUUGGAAUCCGAGCCGUGGUUCAGAACCUUCACGGCCAUAGCUCUCAGGUAUGUAUAUAUAUAUAUAUAUAGAAUGUAGAUGAUAUCCGCGCGCCCCCACUUUCUUUUCACUUACCUUCGAGGCCAAAAAAAACACAAAAGAAAAGAUAAAAAAAACUUUUUAACAUUGAAAAAUAAUUUCAUUUUUUUAAUGUAAUGUAAUGUGAGUUAAUGUGAAGGGUGUUGAAUGGUGGGUGAUCCUGCAACUAGCAUUCCAGAGCAAUGGGGUAGUAUACGGAGAUAUAUGUUCAUCGCCACUUUAUGUUUAUGCAAACCCCUUUGGGAAUGGUAUAUAUCACAGCGAUGACAUAGUGGGAGUUGUUUCUUUGAUCUUCCAUACCAUUACUCUCAUCGCUUUGAUCAACUACGUCUUCAUUGUCUUUCGAGCCAAUGAUAAUGGUGAAGGUAAGUAAGAAUAUUAUUAACAACUUUAAUAAUUGAGCUCUGAUGUGCUACGACUAGUACUAAAGUAAGUUGACUUUUACUAUAGAUCAUAGCAAACUGUAUCUUUUAUUGAUAUGUUACUAGCCAAAUACCAAUAAUAUUUUGUGUGUUUGAACAACAUAGCAUGGGUUAGAAAUUUGGGAGCCAAAGAGAAGAUGAUCUCAUAUUGUAUUAGUCUUAAAAAAAAUAAUCACGCGUGAUUAACGUACGUUAGCUUGAACAAUCUGAGAGAGAACUUUACUGGUUAAGUUGCUGAGUUCUUUUUCUUCAUGUUGAAUUAAAAAAUCCAGUUGACGUUGAAUUACAAAAUUAAUCGGUUCCUUAAAUUCCACAGAAAAGUACGUAGUUAAAUUAAAAGAAAAAAAAAAACUAUUUGUAGGCCAUAUAAAAGUUUGGUGGGGGGGGAACCUUCUUAAACCUAUGUUCAUCUAACUACCCAUGAAUCCACCGACAGAAACUACGUUGCCGAUGUAAUUCUUAAUGAACGGAGCAUUAUUUAAUGGCAGUUUAAGAAAAAAAUCAGAAGUAUAAAAAAAGAAACUUUUGACUUGCAUUAUUUAUUCUAGAAAAGUAUUAGUAUACAUAUUUUUUUAAUAUUUAAAAUUAUCAAAAUUUAAAAUUUGAAAUUAAAAAUUUAAUAUUUUAUCAAUAAAUCGUAUAGUUGUUAACGCUUUAUCAUUAAUUUUUCAUUACCUUCCUUUUCAAUUUGUUUUGUGAAUGUGCUCUGAUCUUCACAAGCAUGUUGAAACAUAGUUAAUGACUUUUUUUGUGAGACUUCAAAAAAACAAAAAAAGUGUGCCGCAAUAUUCCACUAUAACAGUGGUGGAGUCAUCAUUCUUUGUUAUGUAAUCAGGUUCACUACUAAGGUAUUAAAAACAAAUUAAAAUAGAUGGAAUCAAGAUUCAAGAUCUAAGUCUUAUGAUAAUUUUGCUAUGCAUAUACUAUAAUCCAAUCUCACUUUCAGCAAAUUAAAAUGGACGGGAAGAAUUAUGUCGUUAAUUGACGUUUUUCAGGAGGGACAUUUGCCAUGUACUCGCUAAUGUGCCGAUAGGUGCGAGUUUGGUCCCUAGUCAAGUAGCAGAGGAUCGUGGUGUAUCCAAUUUCAAGCUGGAAUUGCCCAACAAGAGUAUUGAAAGGGCAUACAAAAUCAAGUCUAUGUUGAAGAACAGUCAGUUAGCCAAAAUUUUUCUCUUGAUCAUCAUGAUGCUUGGCACUUCAUGGUCAUUGGCGAUGGUGUCCUCACCCCUUGCAUGUCAGGUUAACUAUAUUUUUUGUACUUUCAUACCAUUCAUUGAUAUAUCUAUAUAUAUAUAUAUAAAUAUAUAUAUAUAUAUAAUGGCUUAUUUGUUUUAUCAAUUAAAAGCAUUUAAUUGCUAUACAUAUUUUAACACUUAAUUGCUGUUUUGUCAGCUGUGGAUGGCAUCAAGGAAGCUACAGCUGCAGUGACAGAGGGUAUAUGUACUUAUUUUAUUGCAUCUAACUCUUCCCCUGCCAUGAAAUUGAAAAUAAAACUGAUUUGAUUUUUGUCUUUUCUUGAAACAAAAGGCAAGCUGCUCAUAAUAAAGAUAUUUGGUGCAAACAGAUAGGAUUGUUUGGAUGUCAAUAGCUAUCUUGCUCUGCCUCUUCAUGGUUCAAAGAUUUGGAACCUGACAAAGUGAGCUACAGCUUUGCUCCCAUAAUUUGGGUUUGGUUUCAUUCACUGGUGGAAUAGGAGUUUACAACUUCAUCAAAUUUGAUCCAACAAUCAUCAACAUAAACCCAAAAUACAUUGUACACUACUUUCGGGGAAAAAAUGAUGCAUGGGUCUCCCUAGGUGGGGUCGUUCUUGCUAUAUCAGGUUCCAAAAUUUUGCUCCCUUAGUAAUUCAAUUUAACUUUUUUUAUUGAAGGAGUUGUUAAAUAUUACUAGUUACAAACUUACGCUUCGAUACACUUCGAUGCAGGGACAAAAGCAUUGUUUACUGAUGUUGGCCAUUUCAUAGUUCGUUCCAUACAUAUAAGCAUGGGCACUGUGAUCUACCAAGCUCUGUUACUGGCCUAUAUUGGACAGGCCUCCUUCCUUCGUUUAAGUGAAAAUAGAAGUCAAGCCCAGGGAUACCCAAUGUUCUUCUAAUUUGACUUUUCUUUGUAUAUAUAUCUUACUAAGGUGGCAAGUUGUGACUUGUGAUAUGCAGGCCCUUUGUAUUGGCCAAUGUUUGUGGUGUCUGUGGCUGCUGCAAUUAUAUCAAGUCAAGCAAUGAUUUCAGGGACUUUCUCUAUAAUCCAGCAGUCACUCUCGUUGGGGUGUUUUUCUCGUGUCAAAAUUGUUCACACAUCAGCCGGAUAUGAAGGACUGUAUUCCUGAGGAGAAUUACGCUGAUGCUAGCUUGUGUUGGGGUUACUAUAGGUUCCAGGACCACAGAAAAGAUUGCCAAUGCAUAUGGUAAUACUCAAGACUCUGGUUAUGCUUUUAACUUAUAUUUAAUUCACAUUAAUACAAUUAAUUAUAUUUUUUUCAUUUUGCAUCGGUCAGUCUUCUAAUUACCUGAACUUAAGCAUUAAAAUUAAUAAGAAGUAACUGCAUACCGGGGUUGCGGUGGUGUUUGUAAUGACUCUAACAUCAUCCUUGUUGGUUCUCAUCAUGAUCAUGAUAUAUAAAACCAAUAUACUUUUUGUAAUCGUUUAUGUUCUUCUCAUUAGCUCUGUGGAGUUAGUCUAUUUGAGCUCUGUUCUCUACAAACUUGAUCAAAGAGGAUACCUGCCUCUAGCUUUUGUAGUAGGCCUGAUGACCGUGAUAUAUGUUUGGAACAGUGUAUACCGAAAAAAGUACAAUUUUGAGAUAGAUCACAAAAUCUCUCUUGAAAGGCUAAAGGAGAUAAUUACUGCCAACACAAACUUGUGCAGAAUUCCUGGACUUCCCAUGUUUUACUCAGAGCUAGUUCAUGGUAUUCCACCCAUUUUCGAGCAUUAUGUGGCAAAUGUACCAGUAUUGCAUUCGGUCCUUAUUUUUGUCUCCAUGAAAUCACUACCAGUUAGCAAGGUUGCAGCAGGAGGCUGAUUUCAUUUUAGAAGAGUAUAACUAAAGGAGUUAAAUGUCUUUCGUUGUGUUGUUAGAUGUGGAUAUACAGGUAUACGUAGUGAACAAUAAUCCUUUGAGUGGACUUUAGUUUGAAAGAUUGAAAGAGUUUAUCAAAGAAAAUAUAUGGUUGUCUCAUGCACUAGUUACUAAUGGAAAGACAGCUUAAAGGGUGAGGAAUCGGACAACAAACUACUUAACAGAGAGGAUGAAGAAGAUCAGAUCAAUGGGAGGCAAGUUGAAGAGGAUUGGCAAGAGACAGCGGAGAGAGAAAUAAGCAUAGUGGAUAAAGCAUGGGAAGCUGGUGUUGUACACUUGGUUGGUGAGAGUAAGGUGAUUGCCGGCAAAGGAGGAGGAAUAAGGAAAACGAUUUUAAUAGAUUAUAUAUGCUUACAAUUUCCUGAAGAAAACUUGAGACAAAGUGAAAAAGUCUUUGAUAGCCAAAAAUUUUUUACGUGGAAAUUAAUUAUUAUUUUGUAUGAAUUUAUAUUUAUAUAUUAUCAUACAAAUUGAAAAAGUGUUUGAUAAUUAAAAAUUUUUUACGUGAAAAUUAAUUAUUAUUUUAUAUGAAUUUAUAUUUGAUAUAUUAUCAUAAAUUUUAUAUCCAAAAAAUUCUUGUUUGGUAGCCAAAACACUAUGAAAUUGCAUUAGAUUAAAAAAAAAACGAAAACAAAAUUGAAUUAUAUAUGCUCAGUAUAAAGUUGUAGAUUUGGUGUGUUUCACUAACUCCAGCUUAAGUCAUUGGGCAUAUCUCAUUGGUACACGUCUCGUUAAGCCUAGAGGCUAGAUGUGACAGGCAGGGCUCAUAUAUGAAAUCAUGAUCGGCCAUAUCCAGCAGACGGCGACUCUUUCCAUGCAUACAUCAGUUAUGACACCAAGCAAGCAGGAGAAUUCCAUUACUUUAAUUUAGACCCUUGCUCCAACUCUAAUUCAUGAAGAAGAAAAGAGCGAAACUGACAAUUACCUUUUCCAAGGGAGAAAAUUUCAUUACAAAGUAAAGCAAUAGGUUUUCAAAAUUUAUUUGCUGUUUGAAAUCCUUGUAUGAUCUUCUUUUUUUUAAUUAUCAAGAAAAAGAAUCAAACACUAUCUUUUUCUUUUGUUUUUCUCUCAGGCUGUAUCUUUCAAACUGGUUGAACAAGAAGUUUCAAAUGAGAAACCCUUAGAAAAGCCUAAUUAUCUACUCUCUCCGUAAUUUCUUUAAUUCUCUAAUAUUAAUUGUCUGCAUCUGCCAACAACCUAUAAACAGAACUUCCAAAACCUUGACUUUGAAUCAUCUUCAGUUUGGCGAAAACCAUUCAAUCCAUUUGAAUAUAUAUUGUAUAUAUUAUUAUUAUUAAAAAAAAUUAAUGGCAGCAUGAUCGAGACCUGAUGGGGGUUUUCACGAUAAAACAAAAAUAUGUCCAAAUACUAACUGGGUUCCAGGAUCUAGAACUUUCAGAGACAAACCCUAACCUUGGAUAAUUAAGUAUGACUAUUUUGGAAAGGGCAAAUGAAGAAAUGAAAAAAAAGCUGUGUAGGUGCGGCCGGAGUUACUCUAUAUUUCACUGACCAGUAUGGUGUCAGAACACUUUGAGAAAUAUAUGGCAUAUAUAGAGCAGAAGCACAAGGCAUGUCUUAGCUAUUAACUCUAAUAAAGGAUUGAGGUGAUUUCUUUGUGGUAGAUCUAUUACGUAGCCAGUGUUAGAUCUAUUAUGUACCAGUGAGAAAGAAAACCUCGCUAUAAAGUUCAUGAAACAGAAGAUGAAAACCCUUACAAUCUUGACUGUAUUCUUCAGCAUUCCCAUUCUAUAUUUAUGCAUCAAACUAUAAAAGAUGCUAAUUGUAAUAGUUAAAGAAUUCAGCUCAAAAAUCGAAAUUAAGUAAGCAUAAACCAAACCCUAAAUUUUCAUACACAAAUUGCCAACUUAUGAACUAAUCAGAUAGGCUGCUGGUUGUCUAACAAAAUACCUGCAAUAAAAACUCAAUAAUUCACGGAGAAACUUCCAAGAACUAGCUUCAAUAUUUCUACCAGUUCUCUUAAGCUGAUAUUAGUCAAUCAGAAAACAAACUCUUGAUUUUAAGCCCACACAAGAAAUGUAAAAGAUUUACCACAUUUACCCCUCCAAACCCGUAGCCCUGAUGCCUUAAUUAUUAUCAUGCCUAUAUUAUCAGAAACAUAGAGUACUUAAUUUAAAAUUAAGUCUGGAAACAAGCAAUUACCACGCUUUAUAUCUUUCAAAACGGUUUGGAAAGGGAGCUAUUACUCCUCUCAAUUGAACUUAAAUGGGGUUGAUGGAACCGCAGAUGCAGAUCUCCUUGGCAGUUCACCUCUGUAAUUUGUUGUUUCUUCAUUUUCUUCGUGGUUUCCAGACCUAUUCUGGUUAGCUCUUUCUCCUUCCUGUUCCCUAUACCUAUGCAAAUACCUUUUUAAUUGCUCAGCGUAGUUAUCAAACCCUAGAGUUGCGAGUGCCCAACAAAUGUCAUCCCCAUUAACAGUUUUGCGCUUUCCUUGUGACACUUGUCAGAUGCCUCUCCCGUAACAAAGCUAAUAAACUCGGAUACACAUUCUUGCAUGGUUUCUUUAGCUUCUUUGGAGAUCUUUGCGUUAGGAGGUAGAAUCUGCUUCAUGAUUCGCCCAACGUUAGCUAUCGGAAGCAACCGAUCUUGUUCCUUAAUGAUGCCAUCCUCACCUGAGACAUCGCCGGCACCUUCAAAGCUGUACUUAUGGCCUUCUCUAUCUAUAACAAUGUUUAUUUUAUCGGUCAUAUCUGUAAAAUGUGAAGAUUAAGAGAAAUUAAUAUUUCGUUAAACUUAAACACGUCGUUUCUAAUUAUUAACUCGCAAAUAUAUAUAUAUAUAUUUAUGUAUGUAUGUUUAUGCGUGUGUAUAUAUAUAUAUAUAUGUAAAUGAUAAAAUGGUAAAGAUUGUUUCUCAUGAUGUGGCAAAUCGUAAUGCAAACUGGUCAACAUAUAGAAGACCCAAAGGCAGGCAAUUUUCCAUUGGUGGUGCGAGUUAGGGUUUUCCUUUAAAAUAUAUAUAUAAGUACUGUCCCUUACGGGACUUGUGGGAGCAAUCUAAACCUUGAAAGGUAUUGAGAAACUUAUCAAUUAUAUACAAUGGUCCCCCUUCUUGGUUCUUAACACUUAGUGCUCUCAAUAAGUUUCAAACUGAAACUUAAAAAAAUGCUGCAGAUUUGAAAUUUGUGGACUAAAUAAGGUUAAAAUAUUAAAAGAAUUCUUGAAUUUUAUCACUUUAUUUAGAUAAAUUUCUAUAUUUUUCUUGUAUUCAAAUAAGUUUUUUCUUUAAUUUGUAUUCAAGUAUGCCCUUAUUUUAAAUAAAAAAUUAAUGUAUAUUAAAGAUUUAUUUAGAUAUAAAUUAAAAGAUAAAGGUUUAUUUUUAUAUAAAUUAAAGUUUAAGAAUAUAUUUGGGGUGUAAAGUAAUUAAAGGUUAAUUAUUUAUUUUAGUGCAAUAAAAAUAUAGGUGCUUAUCUAAAUAAAGUAAUAAAAUUCAGAAUUUUUAUUAUUAUUUUAGCCUAAAUUAAAACAAUAAAGUUGAAUUACCGACUAUUUAGGUUUUUACAUGUGAUUAUUUUACUCUUCCAGACAAGAAAUUAUUUUUCUUUUUAAUUGUUAAAUUUAGGUAGGGUACUCCUGAAACUAUGGACUUCGUGUAUGAUGACCAAUUAAAGGCUACAAAUAUAGGGUCUACACGAGGCAUUUGGUGGAAGAUUGAUCCAUUGAUAAUCAAAAGAACUUCUUAUUUGAUGCAAGUUCAUUAACAGGUCAUUCAUCUUGAUGAUCAUUAUGCUUUGUUAAACCAUCCCCAAACCCAACACUAUGAAUACGACUUUGGUUUACUUAUUAAUUAAAGCAGCCUAUAGCUUUAAGCGUGAGCUUUAAGUUCUUAUUUAUUGAUUGAUUGAAAGUUGUUCACUUAUGUAAACUAAUAAUAAUUAUUAGAUGCUUAUUCAUUUGGAAUCAGACGUCAUUAUUCUUUUAGAUUUCAUUUGAAUGGAUGAUGAAAUUAAAAAUAGUAUUAAACGUUAUUAUAGUUGUUAUUAAAAAAAAAUGAUUGUAACAACAAUUAAUGAGAAAUUUAUAUUAAAUGAAUUUUAUUAGAGUUGACAUUUGGAUUCAAUUAAUAAUGUAAUAAGCUCAAUCGCACUACAUUGAAAGUGUUGUAAAAUCUAAACCUAAUCUUAUAAAAUUGAAUAUUAGUAAAACAAAAAAAUCAUGGAUCAUAAAUAGAAGUAGGGCAAAUAUUAAAAUAUCUUAGAAGCUAAUUGAAAUUUUCAACUAAUUUUUUUUAGAUAUUUUUAGUGAUAAUGUUAAACAAGUAUCAAGAGUUUUUUUAUACAUAAAUUUACAAAUAAAGUUUCAAAAAAGGAAAAAAGAGAGAGAGAAGAUUUUCAACUUGAUGCUUCUAUUAGAGAAUUAAUAUGUGUAUCUAACAGUUAGAUUGUCUUAAUUACCCUUAGUUGCUAUGGCUUUGUCAAGGGCAAAGUGCUUGAUAAAUGGAAUUAAAUACUAGGUUUAACGAAAGAAAUUAUAGCAUUUUUCUGUUGAUUUCCUAGGCAAGUCGGGAAAAAUGUACAAAAUCAAUUGGCAAAAGGAUAAGUUGCCUAAAUUAGGAUCAUGCACACUUUGACAGGUCGUUAGAGUAAUAAAACUACCAAUUUAGGUCACUAAAGGUGGGCAAUCUAUUUCUUUAAUUAGAUUUUAAAACAUGGAGGGUAAUAAAGAAAAAUACACUGUAUUUUUUUCUUAUUAAAGAUUUGUCAACUAUAAAAUCAGAUUAAAAUGCUUGAAAGUCGAAUAGAAAGAAAAAAAAUACUGCCUUGAUAAUUAUUAAUGAUAUUAAAGAAUUGACUUAGCCAAAAAAAAAAAAAAAAGGAAAAAAUACAGCGACAAAGCAUGCGAAUCAACAGUUUGAAAAAAGAAAUUCGUGUGCACACCUUUGUAUAUAUUCCCCUUAUAACUAGAUGUAUUAUGUAUUGUCAAAGAGAAUAUAUCCCUUCCUUAAUUUAAUGUAAUUCCCAGGACUGGCUUGGCAAUGGCCAAUCUUCUGCGUCAUGCGUGAGAUCACUGUUAAGAGAACAUGAUUUGGUGGUCCAUGGUUACUAAACAAAUACAUGCUUUUGCUCUUAGUCAUGAGGCGCUUGAACAAAAGCAGAGAAAAGACAUACUCAUGGCCAUCUUAAACUCACUUUCACUUUUAAAACUUUAGUCUACUUUAAAAUUAGAUCAAUUUAUUUUCUCAUGUUUCAGCUCUCAUCAUUUCAUGAGUUCCAUUCAUAUAAGCCUAGCUACAGCUUGCCAAAAAAAUUAACUGUGCUUUCCUUUUGUGCCAUUUUUUUGUUUUUAAAUUUAAUACUAUUAUUUAUUUAAAAUUAUUUUACUUCAGCUUUUACAAUAACAUAAUUAUGCAUCAAACGCAAGCCCUAAAAAAUCGAGAAGCAUAUAAAAUAUGAAAAGUCUCAACAAACUUAAUUCAAAUCCAUUUUCUUAGGUUCAUCUUUCCAAACAUAGCAAGAAUAUUAUUAUUUAUUGAUUAGAAAAAUUAUUAAUUAAAUAUAAAAUGUUAUAGCUCCCAGAAUUUACUAUUUGAAGAUUUGGACUUAAGAAGGAGCUAGGGAUUCUCUAUCAAAAGUAGGGGGUUACAAGGAAAUUUAAUGUAGAAAGGAAAAAAAAAUAUUGACCCAAGAGUCUUUUAUGGUUUUUGAGGACCUCAAAGAAAGUUAAACGUUCUAUAAUUCUCCUCUUUUUAGGGGCCAAUCCUUCCCACUUUCGUUUAAGAAUCUUCUUUUCAUCUGCUGUAGUGGGCAUCUUAUUAGCUAAGCAUAUUUGAAUCUGCAGCUUUGUUACAGUAGUAAGAAUUAGAGAGUACUAAAUACUUAUGCUAAAAUGUUAAUUUACAUCAAAGGAAUAGAAAUUGUCUUCUUUCAUAUUCAACUCUUAUAUACAGUAUGACAUAUAUGACCAAAUUUGCCUGCUUUUGGAAUAUGUCUUUUCUGAUGUUUGUGUUCUUUUGGUGCCGCACUGCUACACAAAAAAAUCCUUAGUUAAUUACUGGAUGCUUGAGCUCUAAUAUUUGUUUAUUGCAGGGUACCUUGUUUUAUGGCAAAGCUCUAUUAAUUUCACGAAGAUUAGAUUCUGGAAAAGAAAUACGGUUAAUUAACUGUUUGAUCUGCUGCGCAUGAAUGAAAGCUAAUCGGGAAAAUCAGAUAAAGGAGUCAAUCACUCAACUGCAUAUAAUUUAAUUAUUUUCUGGUACACUUUUUUUUUUUCUUAAAGAAAGAACGAUCAUCACUGCAACUAAAUGAAAUGGAUACCCACCAAAAUCCUACUUGAUUGCAUGUUUUACCGGUAGGAAUGAUAAUAUAUAGGAAAAGAUGAUGUCAUUGAUUAUUUUGAACCUCUAAACUAGUUUCAACUCAGAAACCUCACAUAUAUAUAUAUAUAUAUAUAUAUAUAUAUAUACACAUCCCUACUCUCUCUAACUCCUUCCUAAGAAAAAAAAAUGAUUGGAGAGAAAAUUACCUUUAUUAAGGAUAUACAGGAGCAAAACCAAGAGCAGAGUGAGAGUGAGCAUAAGUCAAGUUCAAUGGAUUUGGUCGAUUAAAAUCGAUUAAAUUUGGUCAAGGUUAUGAAAAGUUCUACAACUUUUGCCAAAAAUAUAUAUUACAAUGAUUAAAAAUAACUACAAAGAUUAUCAAAUUACAAAUGUUAUAAAAAACACUAUUAUUGUUAUCAAAUUUCUUACAUAAGUUACUAAAAACACUACAAAAGUUACCAAAAAUAUUAUAAAAGCUUCCAAAAUCUGACAAAAGUUAUAAAAAAAAAACCCACAAAAGUUACCAAAAUUUUUAUAGAAAGUACAAAAACACUAUAAAAAUUAUCUAAAUUCUUAUAAAACUUACCAAAAAUACUACAACGGUUACGAAAAUUAUUAUAAAAGUUAUCAAAAUAUUACAAAAGUUAGCAAAAUUACUCCCAAUAUAUAAUGCUGAAAAUCUUGGGCCCUUACAUGUGUAGUCAAAAUGCGCCCUCCUUUAUUUGGAUUCACUGGUCCUCUUUUUGUUUCCAAAGAUGGGCAUAAAUUGGGUUUCAACUUAAAUGGAAAUAUAUGAAGAGCCCAUGCUAACUAUGUUGGGCUAUAUUACUUUAUGAUCCUUUCACCUAGUUCUUCGGUGGACUAUAAAAAAAUAAAAACAUAAUAUGUAAAUUGUUCCCUAAAUUAUAUCAUAUUUUAUAAUUUAACAUUUGUAAAAAAAAAUUGAUAUUUUGAUUUUUCUUUCAUCAAAUACUUUGUGUCAUUGAUUAAUGAUGUGAAGUAAAAUAAUGAUGUAAUAAACGUUGAUCAAUAAAAAUACGUCAUAUUUCAUGUUUUUUAUUUGUAGAUUUCAUAUCAUAUGAACAUAUUAUUAAUAAUAUUAAAGUUUAAGACAAAUGAUAUGAUAUAAUAAAAUUUUGAUAUCAAAUCAUAAAUUUUUUUUAAUAAUAUCAAAUCGUAAAAGUAUAAUAUAAUACAAAAAUAAAUUACAUAUUAACCCAUUAAAAAAAAAUUAUGGUACGUUGACUGUUGACCCUUUUCUUUCGGCCAAAAAUGGGUAGUGGAAGAAGAAGAAGCAUGACUCCAACCUCAUUUACGUUUGUUAAACUUUUUAAUGGCGUUGCCACCGCGGACCAUUAAUUAUAAGUACGGCCCAUUGUUUUGAGAUUAUGGCUACAAAUCAUGGGAUUGGCCGAUCGAUAUGAAACGAUGGGCCAUCCGCUAUUGUAGCGCAGCAGCACUGAGAAAUACAAAAGACAAGUCAAAUUUUCCUUGUCAUACAACACGAUCACAGCCGUACACUUAAGGGGCCCCAAGGCUUUUGCAUGUUGAUAAACUCUGUUCGAUAAAUGAUAAUUCCAAACAUUUUUGGAUGGUGGUUUUUAUGGGGGAAAAAAAAGGGAAAAAAAAAAUUCAAACGGUGUCUUUGGGAACACAUUUUGACUCUUAGGUGGAUCUCUCAGACUCGAAACAGUUCUUCCCUUGGGGAUCAAACAACAGGGUGGGGGCUCCUUUAUUUCUUUCCAUGGAUUUCAUUUCAUUUAUUCCAAAUAAAACACAUACUCCAAUAUAUUUUUGCAUUUUAUUUAAUAACAAUCCACAAUGUUAUGUUCUUUCCUUUUCCCUGUACGGUUUUGGUUUCAAUGAUCUCUCCCCAAAGGACCACGAGUCUAAUUCACCUACCAAUAAUUAAACUCUAGAAACUCAAAAUCUCAAUACCUAUUGUCGAAUUUUAUGCCAUUUUUUAUAACUAUAAUAAGAAAAAUCCGAUAAACUUAACGCAUGACAAAGUUUAUAUAAAUUAUAUAAUUAAAGUUUAUGAAGUUUUUUAUUAAAAAUAAAUAAAUAAAAAAUUUAAAUUAAUAUAUUGAUAGAGUUUAUAUGAAUAUUAAUAAAUAUAAAAAUAUUAUUUAUAAUUUAAAUUUAAUCGAUAGUUAUUUAAUAAUAAAAAUUUUGUUAAUAUUUUUUAUAAAAAUAUUUAUAUACUAAAUAUAUCAAAAUGCAUUAAAAUUUGUUUAAAAUUUAUACAUUUGAUUUAUAUUAUAAAAUUUUUUAAUUUAUUUAUUUUUAAUAAAAAUUUUCAUGAAUUUUACUUAUUAAAUUUUAUAUAAGUCUUUUUUAGACAUAGUAUACAAGUUUUGUAUCCUUGUUUCUAAUGUAUGACUAUUCUCAUUAACAACCAUUACACACGAUAGAGAAAACCCUCUUUUUUAUCUAGUUUUUAGGAAAUAUUAAUAUGCUAGAAUAUAAUUUUUGCAUUUUCCCAAAAUCAUUUUAAAGCAUGAGAUGAAUAGUUUUAAAAAAUUACAAUAAAGGGAAAAAAAACUGUUUUCAUUUCAACUGUUUAAAAUAAAACAUCGUAAAUUAUAUAAUUUAUUAAUAAAAGAAUGAUUUAAUUACGAACCUCAACAUUUGAUUCGAGAUAUCGCAAGUGAUUUAUUUUAUUUAUAUAUAAAAUUUGUAUUUCCCCUUAAUAACCCCUCUUUUUUUACUAUUGAAAAAAAAAGCCUAAUUAACUUUAUUAAUUUAUUAUUAAUUUGUUUUAUAUUUUACUUCUGUUGUCACUGUUUCUCACUGCCAAAACUUUUCCUGAGAGCAAAACAAAAUUGUGUUUUUAUUUGAAAAAAACCCAAAAACAUUGCCCUAAAAUUUCGAAAAUAGGAGUGUCAAAAAACAACAUAAAGAGGACAUAAAGUUGUCCUUUUUGGUCAUUUGGACCCAUGCAUCGAAUCGAAACCCAUCUACGAACGCGUGUGGUUUCAACUCUCAUAGAUCAAACCGAACACAAGCGUUAAUCCUUCUCUCUCUCGCUCUCUUUUUUUUUUUCUUCACAGCAAAACUAAAGAGAAUUUCUUUGCUUUCUUUGUCGUAUUGUUAUUCUCUCUCUUUCUCUUUCUCCUAAGCCCUCAAGAAUUCAACUUUUUCGUAUUCAUGAAAGCUAAGCUCUAUCUUACAAGGUAACAAAAAUCUUCUUUACUAUGUCUUGUUUCUUCUUUUCUUUUCUUUUCAUUUUUUUUUUGUUUUUGUACUUUUUUUUUGCUCUGCUUUUAUUUAUGGCUACAAGAAAAGAGUGAAGAGAGAAAAAAAAAAAAAGAGUUGACGAUCGAGGUUUACAGAUGUAUAACAAUGAAAACCCAUUUGUCCAGGUUGGUUUUGGCACGUGGGUUUUAACGUUCAAGUUCUUCUAUGAAGGUUAGCCAUAUGUUUUUAUGAAAAAAAAAUUGUUCUUUUACAUUUUUAUAGACAUUUCUUAUCAACCGUUUAUUAGUUAAUAUGUUUUUUCUUACUUUUUUCUGUAGUUGUUUAGUAUGUUUAAUCAAAAUCAAAUGGAGUUGCAUGUUAAUUUUCACUGAAUAAUGCACAAGUUUUCUUGAUUGAUUUCAUUAUUCUGUAUACUAUAUGUUUGAAUGAGAUCGUUUAGUAUUCUGUAUUGACAGCUAUGUGUUUUUGGGAUCGUUUAGAUUGGUUUUAUGUUGUUUUUUAUCUGUUCAAUCGGCAUGUGAACAUGUACCUUGGCAUUUGAAUAUCAGUAUCCACCUGCUUUUGGUUCUUGCUGUUGGUAAUUUAGAUUAUUAAAAUAUAAAUGUUGUUAUCUGUUUUAAUUGUAGUCAUAAGCUUCAUGCUUAAAUUGAGGGCCCUUAUUUUUUCCCUCGAGAAUUAUGUUUGAAAUUAUAUUCACCACGCUUGGUUUAAUUCUUGCUUAGCUAUUGGUUGUUUUGCAUUCGAUUAUUAUGAUCUUUUCUGAUGAACCUAGCCUGCACAAGUUUUUUUCCUUUUUUUUUUCCCUUUUGAUGAAUGUUUGUCUUGUUUCAUUGCAUUCAUAAAGUUUUUCAACACUGUUAUGAAUUCUCAAGGGUCCUACCUAAAUCCCAAGCAUAUGUAAAAAUGUUAGGAUUUUUUCCCGCAUUGAUUGCUGGAAAUUACUGAUGUUCAUACAUAAAAGGAUUCCUCUGUUUUUCAAGUUCCGUCUUUAUCUUGAAUUAAAAUAAAUAAUUUGGAGAAAUUAUAUUUGGCAUAUAUUGACUUUAGCAGUUCCAUGCAGGUCUAAGAGUAGAAAAUUGAUGCUGCAAGUACUUCUAUCUAGAAAUAUUGAAAUUCCCAUGCAUAAUGAUAGUUUUUCCAUCCAUAUAAGGAGCUUGCUAUGUUUGCAUUCAGGACCUGAUGAAGUAAAUUAGGGCUCCAGGGCUGGUUUUAUGCAGUCUUAUGUCCAUUUAAUUUUUUUUUUUUUUGCUCAAUUCUUGGGCAGAUGGACACUACUCUUUUGGAUAAUGGCAUGGAGGGCAUUGAAGAUGAAUCUGCUGAACAAUUACUUGCUUCAUGUUCCUUUUUGGAUGAAAUUUUUGGAGAUCCAUAUGUGAUUCCUCGUGUUGGAGAUCAAUACCAAGCAGAAAUUCCACCUCUAGUUGGAGAAUGUCGUAGUUUACAGGUUGUAAUGGAACCAAUUGACUCAAAAGUCAUAAUUAAUGUGCCAAACCUUUUUCCAAUGGGAUUGCCUAUCCCUCUUUUCUGGACAAAGACUGAAGAAAGUAUAAAUGGUGCAUUUGAAUUUGAAAACAGUGAAGAGAGCCACAUUACGUCAAGCCAUGGAUGUGCAGAAUAUAAAGUUGGAAGUCUAUAUUCUGUGUUGGGUGAUGGGAAAGACACGAGAGGGUAUGCAAAGCUUCAAGCUACAACCGGAACUAAGCUGGAUGUUGAUUUACUCUUUCCACAGGAGCCAAAUUCUAAGCUGAAUCUGGUGGAUAGAUGUCCUUGUCCUCUUCCAGGAUUUUCGAGUGAAGUAUGGAAGGAUAUUGAACUUGACAGUUUUCUUCUUGGGCUAUACAUCUUCGGAAAAAAUCUUAUCCUUGUGAAAAAUUUUGUUGAGAGUAAAGAGAUGGGAGAGAUAUUGUCUUUCUAUUAUGGAAAAUUUUACAGGUCUGACGGAUAUCGCAGAUGGUCAGAAUGCCGAAAGUUAAGAAGCAGACGUUGCAUUCAUGGAGAAAAGCUGUUCAGAGGAUGGAGGCAACAGGAAUUAUUAUCACGAUUAUUUUCUCAUCUUUCAAAAGAAUGUCAAGAUAUGUUGCUUGAGGUAUUUUUCUGACCUUUUUUUAAUGCACAACACCCACUCAUUUGAUCUUUCUAAAUAAUUAGACAUAUUUAUUUUGUUAAUUAGUCCUUUUAUAUCACUGAGUGCUGUCAAGUUACACAUACUCCCUUCCUAAUCAUUUUAUAUCUCUCCUACUCCCUUGAAACUUGAUCUAGGAACACUACAUUAUUAUGUUGAUGGAGACGUUAUUUUUUGUUAGUUAGCAUGGUUUGUUAACUUCUGAAAUGUGCACAUAAUUUCUGAUUUUUAUUUUCAAGUGGUAUUUAUGCAAAUGUGCAUCAUCCACACUGCAUAGACACAUACAGUGUUGACUGUGUAACUUUUCAGGUGGCUGAAGUCAGGCCACUUUGGAGAGCAACAUACUUUGAGCAUGGGAAUUAGUGAUGAUUUUGUGGUGUGUAAUAUCGUAAACCAAAAAUAACACAGAUGCUAUACAGGGUUUGAGACGGGGAAAUUGAAGCAAAUUAGCAAAGAAUGUAGGUUUAACUGGGGCCAUGCUUGAGUAUUCUGUUGGUUCAUCGAAACAAAGCAGUGUUUCUCUUUGAAGAUCUGUCUUUUAAAAGGGGCAACUAACUAUAGGGCCGUCUUUAGAGGCUAAAAUGGAGGAGCGAGAUUUUUUUUUGAUAAUGGAAGAGCAUGAUUUUGGUUGUUGACUAACACAUUCAGAAAUAUUUAUGUAUUAAUGGAAUGAUAAAAUAUGGGAAAACACAUAUUUAUAGUUGGUUAUAAUAUUUUAAUUUGUAUAUUUAUAUUUGUGUCUCUAGAAUUAAAGUAUUUGUAUCCUUAAAAUUAGGGAUAAAAAUUAUGAUAGACAAUCUCUCAAUUGUAGGAUCAAUUUUAAAAAGAUUUAGUUUUCUAGUUUACUCACUAGUUAGUUUUAUAUAAAUCUAAAGCACUUGUAUAAUUCUUUGAUGAAUAGUCUUUCAACAUACAUUUAGUUUUACUUUUAGUUUUUCACAUAGUUUUAUUUCUUAGCUUUUCCAUAUGAUAUCAGAGCCAGGUUACCAAUCGAACGUGAGCUAAGUGCAACACCGUGAGAGCCACCUUUAGAAUCCUACGAGUUAAGUGCUACAUUGUGAGAGCUACCUCUAGAAUCCCAACAUCUAGUGUGAUUCGAUGGAUCUAUGUGUUUUAUGCUGGGUUUGACAAAGACAUCAAGUUUUAACAGGGGGAGUUUGUGAUGCCUAAUCCCACAUCGGGAUAAUCAGACUUUCUACUAUGAUAUAUAUGGAUAGAUCUAAACCUAAACUUGUCACACAACUUUUGUGGGAUAAAAUCGUAAGAUCUUCGUGUCAAAGUAGAUAGUAUCUCGCAGGUUGGGUGUAGAUUUUCACAAAUGGUAUCAGAGCUUUAAGCUCUUCUUGGGAAGAAAAUUUUUACUAUUAAGAUUCGUUUUAGCCUUGAGAAAGAUAACUAUGCCAGAGAUAGCAAAAUCUGUUACUACUACCUGAUUUGAGGAAGUAACAACUAAUAAAACCAUCGAAAUACUAUAAAAAUCUUGAGAACAAAGAGGGUUGGACAAAGAAGAGAUUGAGAAACUAAAAAGCCUUUAAAAGCAUACCGGUUAUGUGCUUUGGGUAAGGUUUCUAAUUCAGGUAAAGCUUUUAGUUCUCAUGGAUUAAAUGUUUCUAUUAAGCCUAUUAUAAAUUCUUGGGUCAUCGACUCAGGAGCCAUAAAUCGUAUGACACAUUCCUCACAGAAGUUUAGUACAUGUACCUUGUAUCCAAGUAAUAAGAAAAUUGUUGUUGCAAAUGGUUCACUUACUACAAUGACAGGAUUAGGAUAUAUUCAAAUUAAUCCCUCGUUUGUUCUUAAAUAUGUUUUUCAUAUUCCUGGAUUGUCUACUAGUGUGAUAUUUAUACAAAAACUUACUGGAGAUAUGAACUGCAAAGUGAUUUUUUAUCCCUUCUAUUGUGAAUUUCAGGACCAGAGUUCAGGAAAGAGGAUUGGGCUUGCUAAGGACAAUGAUAGACUAUAUUAUCUUGAGACAUCAAACAAUACAAGUAAUAUCAAGAAUAAUUUACCUUUGUCAUUUCUUUCUUAAAAAUCUCCCAAUAAAGACAAAAUUUGGCUUCAUCAUUUUCGUCUUGGACAUCUUUUUUGAAACUUUGAAAAACAUAUUUCAUUUUUUGUUCAAAGGAUUAAAUGCCAAAAAUUUUCAUUGUGAUGUUUGUGAACUUGCAAAGCAUAGACGUAUGUCUUUUCCAGUUAGCAAUAAAAGGAGUUCUAAUUUUUUUUAUUUAAUUCGUAUUGACAUAUGGGGUCCCUCUAUAAUUCCUAAUAUUUCUGAUGCAAGGUGAUUUAUUUUUUUCAUAAAUGAUUGUACCAGGGUCUUAGAUAUUUUUACUUAAAUCUAAAUUAGAUGUGAAUAGUGUGUUUUUAAACUUCCAAAACAUGAUUAAAAAUCAGUUUGGAGUGAAAAUUAAGAUAUUUAGGUUUUAUAAUGCAAGAGAUUAUUUCAACCAAAAUUUAUCUACCUCUUUCCAAAAUGAGGGGAUUAUUGAUUGGUUAUAUUGUUUUAAUACUCCACAGUAGAAUGAAUGACAGAAAGGAAAAAUAAGCAUUUACUAACCACAACCGGAACUUUACUUUUUCAAGUAAAUGUACCCAAAUCUUAUUAGAGGAAGCUGUUCUCACUGUCACAUAUAUUAUAAAUAGGUUACCUUCAAGAUAUUUGGGAUUUAAAACUCCUAUAGAUCUACUCUUACAAUUUUAUCUCAACUUUAAUACCACAAACAACUUCACACAUAGAAUAUUUGAUUGUACAUAAUUUGUUCAUGUUCACAGUCAUAAUAGGAGAAGUUGGAUCUUAGAGCAAUUAAAUGCAUUUUGUGGGGUAUUCAUCAACUUAGAAGGGGUAUAAGUGCUAUAUUUGCAGAUGUCACUUUUUAAGAAAAUAAAUCAUUUUUUACUCAACCUUAUCUUCUGAGGGAGGCUUCAUGCAUGAAAGAUAAGGAUAAAGACUUCUUUUUGCUUAACUUCUCCUCCUCUUCAACAUUUUCAGCUAUUAAUUUUUUAAGUUUAAACUUGUCUCUUUUAAGUUCAAGUUAAAUACUAAAUUUGAGUUUGAACCUAUUCCUAACACAGAAGAUGUGACAAGGGAUAAUAUUAUUCUUGAUUCUACGAAGGAAUUACAAGUGUACUCAAGAAGGAAAGUUCCAAAUCUUGAACCAAUGCAAGUCCAAGAAUCUAAUCCUAACUCUGAAAAUGAGGUAAGUACAGUCUUUGACUCUGUUUUUCAAAAUGAGCAUGAAUAUUCUAAAACUAUAACUAGUGAUUCUGAUCUGCUUAUUGCCAUUAGGAAAGGAACCAAAGAAUGUACUAAACAUCCACUAUACCCAAUCUCUAAUUUUUUGUCAUUUGAAAAAUUCUCACUAUCUCACAAAUUUUUUCUUAUGAGCUUGAGCACUAUUUCUAUUUCAACUACAUUAUCCGAAAUAUUAUCUAAUGAGAAUUGGAGGCAAACCAUAAAAAUAGAAAUAUAGGGCUUAGAGAAAAAUAAGCCAUGAAAACCGGUAGAGUCACUUAUAGGAAAAAAAUCAAGUUGGGUGUAAAUAGGUUUUCACUGUAAAAUACAAAGCAGAUGGUACUGUUGAAAGAUAUAGGACCAGGUUGGUGGCUAAGGGCUACACUCAAACUUAUGGAGUGGAUUAUCAGAAAACUUUUGCUCCAGUUGUCAAGAUGAAUACAGUUAGGAUUUUGUUAUUAUUGGCUGCAAAUUAUAAUUAGCAGCUUCAACAAUUUGAUGUAAAGAAUGCUUUUUUACAUGGUGAUUUGAAAUAAGAAAUAUAAUAAAGGUUCCACUGGGAUUUGAAAGUCAUCUAAAAACAAACAAAGUAUGUAAGCUGAAAAAGGUUUUAUAUGGCCUCAAACAAUCUCUUAGGGCCUAGUUCGAGAUAUUUGUCAAAGUGAUGCUAGCAAUGCGAUAUAAGCAGAGUUAAGAGGGUCACACAUUGUUUAUCAAGCACUCAGAUUCAGUGAAAGUCAUAGUUCUAUUAAUAUAUGUUAAUGAUAUAAUUAUAACCGAAGAUAAUGAAAAAGAGAGAAAAUCUAUAAACAAUAUUUGGCCAGAGAAUUUGAGAUAAAAGAGCUAGCGCGAUUGAAGUACUUUCUAAGAAUUUAAAUAGCUCACUCAUGACAUGAUAUUUUUAUCUCACAACAGAAAUAUGUGAUGAAUCUUUUGAAGGAAAUUGGGAAGCUUGUAUGUAAACUUGCAAGUAAUCCUAUAGAAACUAAUUAUAAACUUAGAAAAACUAAUGAAGAUGCUACUGUAGAUAGAAAGAUGUACCAAAGAUUAGUUGAAAGACUCAUUUAUCUCUUAUAUACUAGACUUAACAUAGCAUAUGUUGUGAGUGUGAUAAGUCAAUUUAUUUAUAGUCCUAAAGACGUGCACCUACAAGUUGUUUAUCAUGUACUACACUAUUUGAAGGCUAAUCCUAAAAGAGGUAUCUUAUUCGAAAGAAAUUCGGGACUGGUAGCAUAUACAGAUAUGGAUUAUGCAGGUUUAGUAAUUGAUAGAAGAUUCACCUCAAGCUACUACACUUUCCUAGGUGAUAAUCUUGUAAAUUGAAAAAGUAAAAAACAAAAUGUGAUGGUAAGAUCAAGUGUUGAAGCAGAGUUUAAAGUAAUGGCUUAAGGAAUUUGUGAACUACUAUGGUUCAAAAUUAUCCUAGAAGACUUGAAAAUCAAGUGGGAUGGACCAAUGAGACUCUACUAUGAUAACAAGUCUGCAAUAAGUAUUGCACACAAUCCUGUGCAACAUGACAGAAUCAAAUAUAUUGAAGUAGAUAGCAUUUUAUAAAGGAGAAACUAGAUAGUGGGUUGAUUUGUACACCGUAUGUAUCAACUAAGAGUCAACUUGCAAUUUGGUUGACUAAUUGUCUCAGUAGUGUAACAUUUUAAGAAAUUAUUUACAAGCUGGGAAUGGAAAACCCCUAUUUACCAGCUUGACGAGGGUGUGGGAAAACACUUAGGCUUUGUUUGUUUCACAGUAAAUUACUUUCGAAAAAUGAUUUGCGUAUUUUCAGAUGUUUGUUUGACAGAAAAUUAGCUAGUUAACGAAAAAUGACUUAUUGGUCAAUGAAAAAAAAAGUCAUUUUUCUGAAAAUUAUCUUACUAAUUUAAAAAGAGGAAGACAUUUUCUGGAAAAGAACUAUCUAUGAGUAGAACUACUUAUCAAUACUUUUGAGCAUAAUUUUAUUUAUAAAUAAUAUUAUAUUAAUAAAUAAAUAAUAUUAUAUUAUAAUAUAUUAAUAAAUAAUAUACUAUUAAUAUAAUAUAUUAAUAAAUAUUAUUAAUAAAUAAUAUAUUAAUAUAUUAAUAAAUAAUAUAAAGAAUAAUAAAUAGUUUUAUUUUAAGUAUUUUUUAUAUUAACAAAAUAUUUUAAUAUUAAAUAUUAUUAUUAAAAUAUAAUUAUUUUUUAAGAUUAAUAAUUUUAAUAAUAAAUAAUUUUUAAUAUUUUAAUAGUCAUAUUAAUAUUAUUUAAAAAAAUAGAUUUUUCAAAAAACAACCAAACAACUGAAAAUAUUUUUUAUUAAUUCAUCCAAAUAAUAAAAAAUCUCUCUCAAUUCAAAAAAUAUAAACAUUUUCUAGAAAUCAUUUUUUGAAAGUCAGCGAAACAAACAAAACCUUAUUUACAGCUAGGUGUAAUUUUAUAAUCUGUAUAUUUAUAUUUUUAUCUCUAGAAUUAAAGCAUUUAUAUCUCUAGAAUUAAGGAUGGAAAAUUAUGAUAGACAAUCUCUCAAUUAUAAGAUCAGUUUUAGGAAUAUUUAGUUUUUUAGUUUACUUACCAGUUAGUUGUGUAUAAACCUAAGGUGCUUGUAUAAUUCUCUGAUGAAUAGUUUUUCAAUAUACAUUUAAUUUUACUCUUAGUUUUUCACAAAGUUUUAUUUCUUAAGUUUUUCUACAUAAAGUAAAUGUAAAUUAGUUUUUAGUUUUUUUGGAUUUAUAAAGGCAUAUUUUGCCUUUAACAUUGUUGUUUUUCCUUAAGGAAAAUAAACUUCUUCCUUUUACCAAGAGCUUUGUUGUGCCAAUUGAAUUGCCGUGUGGCUCAUUAGUCUCCUAAAGUUUUCUUUAGAAUAAGGAGCUGGUAAUUUAAGCUCGUCCUUUACUUUUGUUGCUAUCUUGGUCUUCUCAGUUCAUUUAGGCAUGCAUGUAAGAAUUUACUUAUGUGAUCUAGGUUGAUCAAUAAAAAUGGUUGUUGGUGUUUCAUUGUCAGUCUCUAACAAGCAUUGUGACCUUUGGCUUCUGCUUGGACUGCUUUCAACAUUUUUGAAGCAUGGUAGAUAGAGUGUCUGGCUUUCUGUAUGGAUAUAUUGAGCUUAAUCUCUUCUUCUGGGGGUUAUGCACUAUUCGCCGUAAGUCACUUGGCUCAGUUUUGGAAAUAUAGGAGAAUAUAUGGUCAUAAAGGAUUAGAAUAAUGCAUGGAAACUUCUGUUGUUCUUAGGAAAUGCAUCUCUAAAAUUCACAUGAAUAUCCAGAGUUUUUUGCAGUGUAUCUAUAGGUCUUCGUCUGAUUUUUUGGAAUGGACAAGAGUAAGGAGAAUGCUUAAUAUGCUUUUUCCACUUAGGCAUUUUCAACCCCUUUUAUUUGGUCUAUUUUUCAACUACAUAUAAAAUGGUUUGAAAAUGCGGUUGCAUUUCAACUACAAAUAAAAGAUUUCUUUCUUCAACCCCUGUCUAAAAUCUUAGACAUUUUGCAGUGUAUCUCUAAGAAUAUUGCAGUUAUUCUUAGCUACCUUUUAAGAACAUCUAUUGAUUUCGAUUGAACUCCUGGUUUUUAUGUACUGUUGAAAAUUUCAGUUUACUGCUGAACUAUUGCACCUAAUUUUUCAGCCAUAUUGGGUCUAUAUUUUUCAGAGACAAAAAUAUUUCAUCAUGGUGUUUUUAUGAAUUCUGAUUAUUGCAGGUUUCUAAAACAUUUGGUGAGGGAAAAGUUUCCUUUGAGGAAUACGUAUUCACCGUAAAGAAUACAGUUGGCAUUGGUAUGCUCAUAGAAGCUAUAGGUAUUGGCAAAGGAAAGCAAGACCUAACUAGCAAUGCCAUGGAACCAGUAAAAGCCAAUCAUGUAGUUUCUUUUCGUCCUGAAAUACCAGUUGGAAAAGCAUGUUCUACUCUUGCAUCUGCAGAUAUUAUCAAGUUUUUAACAGGAGAUUUUAGGUUGAGCAAAGCUAGAUCCAGUGAUCUUUUCUGGGAAGCUGUUUGGCCUCGCCUUUUAGCCAGAGGCUGGCACUCUGAACAGCCAAAGGAUCAGGUUUUUUCUGGUUCAAAGAAUUCUCUGGUGUUUCUUGUACCUGGUGUUAAGAAGUUUUCAAGAAGGAAGCUGGUGAAAGGUAACCACUAUUUUGAUUCUGUUAGUGACGUUCUUAAUAAAGUUGCUUCAGAACCAGGGCUUCUUGAGCUUGAAAUUGAAGUGCCAGGCAGCAGAGAGAACAAAGAAAAUAAGUGGGACCCAGUAACAAAACAAGAUCCUGAUUUUAUGACAAAUAAACGUAACCGAUACCUCAAGCCACGAAAUUCUGGUUGCAGUCGAGAUUUAAUGAAGUUUACAGUUGUAGAUACUAGUUUGGUCCAAGGGACUCAACGAUCCAAGGUUAGAGAACUGAGAAGCUUACCACUUGAAGCUACGAGCUUAUCCACCCCCUCUGGUAUUUCCAGCGAUUCUGAGGAGGAUACAUCUGAUGACUCAGAAGAUGAUGCAGAAGAAAAUAGUACUUCAAAUGCUGCAGAGUCCAUGGCUAAUGGGGAAGAAUAUGUGGACUUAUCAGAUUGUGUAAAUAGUAAUUCAAACAUCGUCAUUCCCCACACCUCUGAUACCAGCAUUAUAUCAAUGGAAAAUCAUGAAAGCCAUAACACAAGUCUGCUUGAUGAGAAGGAGAAAAAGGUUAUGAAGUAUAAUUUCAGCCGAAAGGUGCAGUCUAGUGAUUCCAAAUAUUUGGCUCCUGUUAUUAAACAGCAGGGUUUAACUGAUUGUGUCAAUGGAGAAUCAAGCUGUAGUGUUGAAAACUUUUCUGCUGAGAGGAUGUUAAAUGAAGACAAUUCGCACUGUAGGUCUAGCUUGCCUGAUGCUUGUGAAGCUAUGGUUUUUCCAAUGGGAUCCCCAAACUUGUCACCUGCCAGUUCUUUGUCUAAAGGCGGUGCUGAUGAGGGAAAGGAAGGCAUUGUCACUGAAAACUGCCUUCAUGGAGAAGAAUCUCUGAUAAAAACGCAGUUACAUGCUUUGAUAAACUUGAAUGUUCGUCAAGUAUCAAUGGAUUUUGAAACCAAUGGACCCUUCAUCACAGAGACGGUGCAAAAUAUUGACAAUUCGGGUGCUCAUAUAUCAUUCUUUCAGUCCGAAAUAAUGGUGCAGCCUGAACCAUUGAAGCUUCCUGAUAAAGGCGCAGAGGUCAAUCAGCAUCCUGUAAUGCACAACCGGAGGCAGAGUACCAGGAACCGACCAUUAACAACAAAAGCUUUAGAAGCUCUUGAAUGUGGGUUCUUCAGUCCCAGGAGGAAGAGAAAAGUUGCAGAGGCUCCACAGAAUAACUUACGAAGAGUUCGUGGCAGGCCUGUUGUUAAUGCCCUUUUUAGAAAUGUUGCUUGUAAGCCCAACAUGGAGGAGAGUUAGAUUGGUUUCUGCAGUGCCAAAAAAUGGCCAGUCGGUCUCAAAUCUGAAUCUGAUACGUGGAGAAAUGAGUGGACUAAUUGCUAAGCUGGUCCUGAAAAAACCACGUCUCCCUCCACGGCCUCCAAAGCAUUGUGUUUUGGGUGCUUUUCAUUUUUUUAGUCAAUAAUUGGGAGUGCAUAUGUUUCCUUAAUCAAACUAGGAAAACAUAACACUCCAUUCACCCAACCAGCUGCAGAUUCGUGACCAAUGUCAGGUGAAAAAUUGAAGUAUCAAACAUGUUCAUCUUACAUAAGUCAGACGAAACUGAUGCGGGGUUAUAAUCUCAGAAAGAAGAGGAGGGGAAACAAUUCCUUAAACCGGAGUAACCUUUUUCAUUGUGGGAGCAAAUGACACAGGUGGUUCUUACUGUCUUCUAGAUAACUGACUUGCAAACGGUAUUCCUUAUAGGGGUUUGACUGCUGAAUAAUCGUAAUGCCAACCUUUGAUCUUGGUGAAGCUGACUGUUAUUUUCUCAGUUAAAUAAGUUCUCUUUCUGUAUAAACUUUGUCCUCAAAAAGUGUAUAAAGCAAAAGAAUUUUACUUUUAUAUUAGAUUUUCAAUUUAACAAAGUUGUCCUAUUGUUAGUAUUAUAUUUUUUUAACAAGCAUAUGGUCAAAUUUUUAAUUAAUAAUUUUUUAUUAAACACGAGGAAUGGAAAAGGAAAAAAAAAUUGGAGAAUCAAGAGUCAAGAUUAAUAGCACUUAUUAUUCUGAAAGUGAAACAAAGUUUAACCAAGUAUGCAAGUCAAAUUGCUCGUAAUCUUUGAUUGAUACUAUAUUUCAGUUGGAAUAGGUCGGUCGCAUUGCGUGAUUUGUUGUUUGCAGUUUCUUUCUUUUAGUUGUCUAUGAAAUUGCCAUUGCAGGAUAUCUGAGUUUUUUUUUCUGGAUACAACUUCAGAGAGAGGUCAAAGUAAUUGGCAGGCAAAAAACUAAGCACUUGAAUUGAAGCCAGUCAAAACACACAGAAAACAAACGUUCAAUCAAUACUCAAAAUGCCAAAAUUUUUUCGCUGGCAUGUUACCUACCUGGGAAAAAGGGAAGAAAAGGAAACUUAAACCAUAUAAAAACAAUGGGAACUUUCCUCCUAAACCUGUAGUAUUUUUUUUUUUUUACCCAUUUUCGAGUUAUCAAACGGUUGCAGAUCAUUGAUGUUACUGGUGAAAAUGAGCCAUGUUUUCGAGGUGGGAAACCGCUGCUUGAAUUACUAGGCAAACAAGAGUAGGCUCAGCUCUGCCUCUAGAAUCGAGGGUCUCUUUCAAUUUUCAUUCUCUAACAUGAAGAAAACCUUAUUCUUCUCACAUCCGAAUCAGGCCUGAUCUUAAUUAUCCAAAGGGCAAAAAAAAAAUUUUAAUUCUUGAUGACAUGGUCAAUGUCACGGACGGACCAUACCUAGGCCCAUUUCCACUUCGAGCCCUAGAGCUUGGGACAUUUUUGCUGAAAAUUUGUCUUACAUAGACUAAGGUCUGAGAGACCCCACUUCACAAGGCUGAUGGUGAUAACUGAUGAUGAUGUUAAUCACUAUUAAUGUUAUAAUUCAAAACCCAAUUCCUAUUAGUCUAAAUAAUGAUUUUCAUCUUUCUCACUUUCUAGAUUAUCUUCAACAAGUCAAAAAGGUGUUGGAUUCCCAAAGAUUUUUCUUUCUCUCCAAAUAAUCUCCAUCAAUGCUCCAGUGAUUGCCAGGGUUGAUAUCUCCACGUUUUUAAAAGAAAUUAACACUUGGUUAGAAUUUGAAGCAAAACCUGUUUGGGAUUUAACACGAUGAAAAAAAAAAGAAAAACAACUGAUUAGACGUGAUGUAAUAUUUAUGUCAUAAAUUUUUUCGAAUAAAAAAAAUUACAGACAAAUAACUUCCUUUGCUUAUUUAAUUAACUUUAAUUGAAACUAUAUCUAGAGCUUCUAAUAAAGUGAUUCAUGUAUUUAUUUUCUCUUUUGUUUUUAGUUUAUAAAUUUCAAAUUGGGACCAUUUGAAAGCUACGUUCUUACCGUAGAACCAGUCAAAAUGAAACAAAUUAUUUCAAAUCCACCAAUUUACAAUAAUAUUGAAAAUUAACCAUCACCAGACACAAAAUAGACCAGGUUCACACUUGAUGCAAGACUAAAAUCUUUAAAAAAUCUUUCUCCUUAAUUACUUUUUAUUCCUUUCUAAUUCAUCGUAAAAAACACGUCAGUUUCAACAAACAAUAGAAUAUUCAUGAUUGGUUUUUUUUUUAACCUCAAUCAAACAUCGUUUUCAUAAAAAUAUAUAUAUUUUAAAAAAAGGAAAGAAUGCAAGGCCAUGGCCGUCUUUUCUGUUGUUUAUAUUCCAUGGGGUUACUUAGCUUAUGUCAAUUAGAAACCUGGUUCGUUCUAAAUUAUUCAGCAUUUGUGACACUGCAGCAUCUGAAUGGUGUUUAGGGUCGUCCUUUAUAUUCGAUCUUUGCCAUAAAAUAACCAGGAAAAUGUAUAAUGUUGGAACAUUUUUGUCUUCACACUGUUGUGUUUAUGUUUGCUUCAUAAAUUCUAUCGAUCCGCCAUCGAUGAUAACCAAGCAAUUCUGUUUGUCUUAACUAGUAGUUCGUGAUGGAGAAGUAGCAGAUACUUGCAAAAUGGUACAGUUUUGAAAUAUGAUUGACCUGAGUUUUGGAACUUAGCCAAUGGUUCAUAUUCUUAUUUCUGUCUCUUUGUUGUUUCUCAUUCUACAGCCGGGCUUCUUGCUGUUUCUUAUUAAACAUGUGAACUAAUUUUUGGAAAACUAAAUCCUGCUAAUUGACAUGGAUGGUUCAAUUUUCUUCUUUCAAUUGGAAAAAACUGAAAGAAAAUGCCACUAAAGAAAAGUGAUCAUCUGGUUUUUAACAUGAAAUACGAUCAAGAAAGUUCAAGAGUAUGAUCUGUUUUUUUCUCAAAAAUACGAUAUUUGUGGUGAUAUUUUGGGAUUUAGUUUUGGUCUUAUCCAAAAUUUCGAUAAUGGUUGUUAACUGAACAUAUUAGUAUUGAACAAAUGAACAAGCACUUGUUCUUCCCUGAGUUCAGGAUUGUCUUGUCAGUUAGGCAAAUGGCUAAUACGUUUUUUCUAAAGUAUCACUUUUUCUCCCCUUUUGAUUGAACUAUAGCGUCACCUCCAUCAUGCUUGAGUCGGAGAUAAAAAAAAACACACACACACAAAACCCAUUGGCCAUAAAUAAGGAUAGCUUUAGCAUCCCUAGAGAAUCAAAUAAAAUACUUUUGCCCUAUAAUAUUCUUAGACAAUUACAAGAAGGAUUUAGUUAGAAUGAUGGAAAUUCAAACGCUUAUAGAAUGUGAUAUUAUACAAAGUUUCAUGUGUUAUCAGAUGAUAUAUUGUAAAUAUAAUUUUUAAAUUGUGAUAUGUUUUAUAUAAAAAAAUUCAUAGUAAAAGAAGAAAGUGUAUAAUAGAAACAAUAUUUUUAUAAGCACAGCUUUUUCUUGUUCAGAAAAUUCAGUAAUUAGGAUAAAAAGUCACAUUGAUGUAAAGCAAAUCCAGAGGCAUAGUUUUACCGGUUGAAACAAAAGAAAUUCUGGGUAAUGCAAUUGUUUAAGAUUACAUACAAGUUUAGAUGUCGUCGUUACUCUAAAUAUUAUAAUACUGUAACCUAGAAAACAAAGCAGCAGCCAUCUUUAAUGGGGUUAAUAACUUAUGUAUAAGAUAUUGAAACUCUGGACACUGACUUGUUUGGUUUCCUUGAUCGUUUGGAUCAAACCAGACAAACAGGAUUCGGCACAGUUUCAACUGAUAACGGAGACGCAUCCUAAUGAUAUAACAAGCUUCUUGCACCUUUUUUUUAUUGGUUUAAUCAUUAUUUGUUAGGCAGCCUUUUAUAUUAUUACAAAAUAUUUAAUAUGAUAUCUACAUUGAAAAAAGUUUCGAUUAUAAAGUUAAAUUUUGAAUCCGUUUAUCAAGUAACAUCAAUUUUGAAUACUAAAAAUAUUAAUGCGACCAUCAAUCAAUAAAAAUUUGACAUUUGUAUAGAUAUUGAAUCUGUAAAUGACAUGUGUCAUAUUAAGAAAUAAAAUAAAUAAAAAAAAUAAAAUAUAAAAAAUUGAAAAAAUCCAAAAAUAAAGUAAAGUAAAUUUUCAUAUUUGAUUGAACAUUUUUUAUUAUAAAUAUCAUAUUAAACAUUUUUUGAUAAGAAAUUUAUCCCUUCUUGAUUAUAUAUUGUGAUAUAGACUGCAAAAUUGUUUUUGCAAACUAAUUUCAUGGAGUGGGAUAAAUGCAUAGAAGGAGAGAAAUAUAAAAAUUAAAUUAGUUUUAAAGAUGAUCAUUGUUCAGAUGUAAAUUCCUACUGUUUUAUAAAAUAGAAUUUACACAUUUUCAAAAAGUUUGAACUCAAAAUCUGUGAAGAUGAAGAAAUUUGCUCAACACAAUAAUUGUCCAAUCUUUUCAAGUAUAAUUGAAUUUUAAACUUGAAUUGAUGGACUUAAUUUCUUUUCAACAAUUGAUAUCUUUCUUUAGCUAGUUGAAUUUAUGUCUUAUAUAUCAUACCUUCAAUUUUUUUUAUUUAAAAUUAUCAAAAUUUGAUUUUUAAUUAUUAAAUUUAAAAAUUUAACAUUCUAUUAACAAAUCAUGUGAUUUUACAUCAACAAACUAUAACUUAAAUUCUAAUGUCUGCUUAAAUAUGUCAUGUGAAGCCUACAGCCUUGCUCUAGCCAAACUUUCUUGGUUUUUAAUUUACUCCCAAAUCAUAAUGCUAUAGAUUGAUAAGAAAUCUAAUUAAUUUUCUCAUCCAAAUUAAUUUCUCUAAGCUUUAAUUUGAUUUUGUUUUGGUAACAAAAAUUUUAACAUUACUGUCAUAGUAACAUAUUAGUAUUAUUCAAGGAAAGGCAUCCUGGGGAACCAAUUAAACUAAUUUAUAUAUAAAAAAUAACAAUGAAAAAGAAUGGCAAUUUAUUUAAUAAUGAUCAUAUUAGGGGGGCAAUUUCCUUGUGCUUGUCCUUUUCAAAUUUUAACCCUGUACAUAUAUAUUUAUAUAAAGCCAAAGAAGACCAGGUUCCAAUGUUAGCAGCUAGAACCCUCUUCUUUCACCAGGAAUGAAGGAGAAUUCCCUGGUUUUUGUCUUCCUCUAGAGAGAGCAGAUUCCUGAUUUUAUGUUCACCAAAAAACAAGCCUCCACUUUUUGUUAGAGCACCAACAACAAGAAAGGAAGAAAGAAACAAUAGGAUUUGGAGCCAAGGAAAAGGAAACAGACAAGCUUGUAUAUUAUCAAUAUAUCUUUCCUCUCAGUUUCAAAUGUCAAAUAUCUCAGGUGAUGACGGAAGCUUCUCUUCAGGAAACGCUGGAGAGGAAGUCCAGCCUCUUGAAGAGAAGCAGCAGAAACAACAGCUGCAAAAUAACUUGACUAGCUCUGGUUCAGGACCUUCUGGUGCUUCUAACAGCAAUGGUUCUACCACUCAACAGCCACAACAAGCAGUUAAGAAGAAAAGAAAUUUACCAGGAACUCCAGGCAAAUCCAUUUACCCUUGAAUCUUUCUUCUAUGCUAAGUUUAUCUAAUUCAGGUGACAUAUAUUUGAUCUUAUAAGAUCAGGUAAGUUCCGAUGAAAUAUUUAACUGAUGUGGUUUUUAGAUUUGAUCCGUGAUUUGAGUUAGAUGCAUGGCUCUGAGUUUUACAUAUUCUUCAAUAGAAGCAUGCAUGUCAAGGUAGAUUUGAUCCAGUUAAGCAGCACAAAAGAACAAGAUUUCUAAUGGGGGUAUCUUCCAAGAAAUAAAUAGCCUUUAGGAAGAAAAGAUUAAUUUCUAAUUUGUUAUAUAAAAGGUUCAAUUAUUGCUAUUAGUUUACAAUAAUUGCCAAGAACUGUUUGCUUGAUUGCACUUUUUACUUCUCUUUUUGUUUUCUGACUGUGUUCUAUUUGGUUAUUGGCUCUUUGGGGUCCAACUGUCCUAGUAAGAAUACAGAACUCUCUUGCUUAGAUUACAAAAACAAUUACUUAAUUCUUUUUUAAAGGUAAAUCUUCUACUACCUCAUGCUCUCAUUGAACAAUUGGUAGUCUUUUGAAAUAGUUGUAUAAUUGUUGCUCGAAUUAGAUCCAAAUGCUGAAGUUAUUGCUCUAUCACCAACAACGCUUAUGGCGACAAAUCGAUUCGUGUGUGAGAUAUGCAACAAAGGGUUCCAAAGGGACCAAAACCUUCAAUUGCACCGAAGAGGUCACAAUCUUCCCUGGAAGCUUAGGCAAAGGAUAACCAGUGAGGUCAAGAAACGAGUCUACAUAUGCCCCGAGCCAACUUGUGUCCACCACAACUCGGCUCGUGCACUAGGGGAUCUUACAGGAAUAAAGAAGCAUUUUAGCCGUAAGCAUGGCGAGAAGAAGUGGAAAUGCGACAAGUGCUCAAAGAAAUAUGCUGUGCAAUCUGAUUGGAAAGCUCAUCAGAAGACCUGUGGUACUAGGGAAUACAAAUGUGAUUGUGGAACCAUCUUUUCAAGGUUUAUAUACUUUAUAUUAGAAUUUUUAAUCAAAUUUAAUGAUUUGCAUCCGCUUUCUGCAUGAAGAACUGAAAUUGAUAUAUAUAUAUAUAUAUAUAUGUAUGUAUGUAUAUGGUAUCCUUUACAAGGUACAUAAAUCUAUAUAUAUAUAUAUAUAUAUAUAUAAAAAUUCAGUGCAAGGUGUUCAAUGAUUAUCUGAUGAUGACUCUAAAGUUUUGCAUUGUUUUACAUGGUAAUUUCAUAACUCUACAGCAAAACUGGAUUUUAUAAAAUUUCUUGUUGGAUGCAGGCUGUCUUGCAUAUAUGUUUUAGAUUAUGCAUUAAUUAUAUCAUCUCUAAGCUCUCCAAAUAAAAGAAAUGUUGGAAAAUAUUGGCCGACAAUUGAUAGGCUUUUUCAUACUUUAGUUUUGACCCCAUUUUUAUUUAUCAUAUUUCAAAAUCUCUCUCUAGAUCAAAAGUACUGUUUCUUAUCAAAAUUUUUAUCCAAUAACAAACCUAAUUUGACCCCACUGCUUAUUCUUUGUGCAGAAAAGACAGCUUCGUCACGCACAGAGCAUUCUGUGACGCAUUAGCUGAAGAAAACAACAAGGUAAACCAAGGACUAAUGAACAACAUCAACAUGGGAUCAAACUUACUAAACCAAAUGCCAGAGCUCAUGUCAUCAAUGCCAAUGAGCAAUGCCAACACAUCUCUGGGAACAUCUGACUUCAACAACAUUGACCCGAAAAACUCGCUCAAAUCCCUUCCCCAAGAGCUAGUGCCAAUGCCGUUUAAGCCUAUGAACAUGGGUGGAGGCAUGUUUUCAAGCAGCUCUGGCACUCUGUUUGGCAGCCAAGGAAGCAUUUCCUCAGCUUCCUCUAGCCUACAACUUAGUUCAAAUAACCCAUCUGGCUUCAAUUAUUUACAAAACAGCAACAAUGCUUGCCAAAUUGACGGGUCGCCCCACGUGUCAGCCACAGCCUUGUUGCAGAAAGCAGCCCAAAUGGGUGCAACUGCAAGUAAUAGUAUAAACUCUCCCAUGAUGCAAAAAAGCUUUCCUAGUAGCAUGGCAGGUCCUGACCAGUCCAUUAGACCAACAUAUUUUGGAGGAAUGCAGCAGCAGAACACAUCUUACGAACACUUUCCAUCACAAACCGAUCAUUCAAGCAUGGUUGGGAUCAACGAGGGAGGGUUCUCUAACCCGCUCAUGCAAAAAAGCCCCAAUGAAAUGGUCCAACUUUUCAAUACUGUGGCAGGAAGCUCAGGAAUGAAUGAUAUGGGAAUUUUCACUAACAUGUUCAUUAAUGGAGCUGACCGAAACCAAGGCUUGAUAAAGAACAUGGAACAUGAAGAUUGUGGCAGUUCUAGCUUAUUACAAGGGAGAACUCAGGCGAUCGAAAGGAACCCACCAGGGCCAGCAAUAUUUGGAGCGAGCAAUGGAGAAAAUAACAUGACGACUCUUGAUUUCAUGGGGAUUGGAGUGUCAAGGCCAGUCAAUUUGCAUGAACAGCAGCAUCAGCAACAAAGAUUAGAAUUGGAAGCAAUAAGCCAACAAAGACUGCCAAUGAUAAACCCUUUUCAGCAACAGCUCUCACAUGGGAAUUCCGCUAUUGCAAAGUCCAUCUGGGAUGUCUGAGAGCCACAGGUUUUUUUGUUACUUUUAUCUGUCAGUUGUCCUUGGAAGAUUUUCUUGCUCUUGUCUGUGACAAUGCUGAGAUGGCCACUCUGGCAUUGGAAACCAAAUGGGGCUCAUGGGGUACACACCAACUUAUCUAUCUUCAAACAAUGGGCCUGACUUUUUAAAUUCAUGAUGACCCAGCGAUAAGUGGGAGUAGACCUCGCGAUUCGUAAAUGAGAAUCAUAAUUAAAUAUUAAAAAUAAUUUUUAUAUAAUAUUAAAUAGUUAAUUAAAUGUUAUAAUUUAAAAAUUAAUAAUUAAAAUAAUUUUUAUAUAUUUAUAUUAAAUUAAAAUAAAUAUAAAAAAUAUAUUAAAUAUGUUACAUGUAUAUUUAUAUGAUAAAAUUAAAUUAAAUAUGUAAUUAAUUGUGUUAUGUGUUUAGACGUAUUAAUAUAUUAAUAAGUAUAAGAUAUAAAUUAUAUUAUAUUAAAAUUCGUAUCGAUAUAAAUAAAUAUAAAAUAUAUUUUUUAAAAUAUAUAAUUUUUUAUAUUAUAUCAUUAUAUUGUAUUUAAAAUUAUCAAAAUUAAGUAAGAGAACCACGUGUCGAUCACGAAAUAACCUAAUCUCACUCUUCGAAGACAUUUUCUUCAAAGUUUAAAACAAACAACAAAUAUGAAACUCCGUUUCCUUUCCACAGCCAAUUUGUACCGAGAAAAAAGAAACGCUGAUACAGACACACUUGGUAAGUAAUGUAAUCCUAAAAUGUAGAACCAGCUUGGGCCACUUUCCAUGGAAAAUGUUUUCCACAUGAAUAUGAAAAAUGAUAAAAAUAAAUAAAAAUUCAGCAGAGACUAUCUGCUUUUACCCCAUCUUUCAAGUCGUAGGAAUCGUACAUAUUCAUCAUACCUAACAUCCGCUUUUACCCUCCCCACCCCAAUUAAAGACUAUCAUUUCCCAACUUUGUCCCACUAGAUGGACUCACAAUGCUAUUGUUUAUUUUCUAUUUUUGAAGUCAAUUUUUGGUGAAAUUAAUUGAAUCCAAUAUUACAUGCUACAUCUGACUAGGAAUCUUAUGAUACCUCACUCUCUUAUCUUCAAAUGAGUACUUAUUGUUUGACCAUUAAUAAUGAGACUAUUAAAAUUUGACUAUUGAUGACGAAAAUUAAAAUUUUAUUAUUUUACCAAUGAAUAACUUAAUUAUUAAAUUAAAAAUUCUUAAUCCCUUUCUCCUCCUAGAAUAUGUUAAAAAUAUUCAUUCUCUAUAGUUAAGUUUCUAUCAUAAAAUUAGAGAUAAUCUUGUUAAAUGAUUGAAUUUUAUAAAAAAAAUGAUAAAAUACAAAAAAUUAUAUUUAUUAGAUUGUACAACGUGAAUAAAACCGUAAGUACCAAAAGCAACUAUGCGAAUGAAAUAAACUCUGGUCAAAUGAGAAGUGAAAAACAAGUGGGCUUAGACUAGGAUGAAGCCGGAGCCCAGAAUUUCAGGAGUCCUUCAAAGCCCAAAUCAGCUAUCUGCCCAUUCUGGUGAACGCAGGGUUAGGCUCGUAAUAAGGCUUGCCCCUUCUAUCCUCUCUCACCAACGGGUUAAAAACCCUAACCCUAAUUUAGAUUUUCUAUUUAUACGCGAUAGCGAAAGCCAACUUCGCAGCCGAAGCCAAAUCUUCGGAUUCGCUUUUUUAUAUAAUUCAAUCAUCUUUUUUAUCUCAAUUUCCUAAUCUUUACUCUUCCUCCCAUAGGCACAUCAGGUUCGGCGUUGAUAAACUUUUGAAGCUUUGAUUUUUUUUUUUUUUAAUUUUCAAUGAUAAAAAAGGGGAGGCGGUGAUGUUGAAAACUACCUAUUUUAUGAAGGGUUUUUCGCCCAUUUUGUGAUUAGAAAAUCACCAAUGGAUCCUUCUGAGCCUUCUUCUCUCAUUUUCUUCCCUCUCAACUCCAAACUUUAGUUUUUGAUGAGAAAGAAAAAUUGAUAGGUUAAUUUUGUUAGAGUCUGAUUUAGAGCCAUUGAGAUGAUGAUAUCCUUUUCUGAAAAAUAUAAUGUCGACUAAAAAAAAUCAGACUACAAUUAUCUGAUCACUUGGCUCUCUAUCUCCCUUUUUCUCUUUAUUUUCGUGUCAAAUUUGUUUUGCUUCUUUUUUCUCUCACUGUUUUGAUAAUAUUUACUUUCAUUUUCAAGGUUUUUCUUUUUUUAAUAUUAUUUAAUCCAUUUUUUUUAAUAAAAGACAAUACAUCUUUUAAGAUAAUUUUUUGUUUCAUUUCGGACGAGUAGAAACGAUAGGAAGAAUAACAAAGAUUUUAUAUCGCGUACAUCACUUAGAUGAACUUUAGAUAGUCGCAUAAAAAAGAAUGAAGAAAUGGAAUAUGAAAGAGAACACAAAAAUAAAUAAAUAAAUAAUAAGGAAUUGGAUUUUAUUCGUACUGUAGCUGUGUUGAGUUUGUUAUUUCUAUCUUUGAACUCUUCUACACCAUAUUUUUGGUGUAUGAAAUAUUAACAUUCUUUUUUAAUGUAAAGAGAAUAAAAAAAAAAAGAACGAUAAUGAAAGUUUUUUUACUGCAUUAUUUAUUAUUUUUAUUACAUUUAAUUAUAAUAGAUUCUUUGCUUAUCAAAAAAAUAGAAAAAAUAAAUAAAUAAAGGAUUUACUUUAAGAUAACUAGUUAGAUAAGUAUGUAUUAUGUUAAUUUAUAUCAAUUAAUUUGUAAAAUAAAUAUUCAUACAAAUUAGUCAUAUGUCGAAAAUCAUAUAUGAACUGAUGAUACGAGGGUUUUCAAUCCUUUGUUCUACCGAGUUAUCUCGAUCAUUAUUGAUGGAUUAUCUUAUAAUACUGGAUGAUUUGGGUUUAUGUCAAUUAAAAAUGAAAACAAAAACAAUGAAAAAAUAUUAAAUUAAAAGGAGAAUUUCUUAGAUAUUUCAAAGGAAGAUUUUGUAAAUUUCAAUAUGAGUAAUCAUUCAA